rnacentral:lncRNA from 1 species
CAAAGCAGCUUUCUAAUCAGCUGUGUCAAGCGAGCGUCUCGUCUAUACGAGGGUUUCCUUGUUUAGAUUUCCUGGAGAAAAAGCCGAUGCAAACGACCGUAAUGAUCCCUACGAGGUUAGCAGCAGUAUAUAGGAGCCUUUAGGUCCAGGCGAGUUCCGCAGUUGCCCUGUCUAUGUAAACCCUUCUUCAGAGCCUGCACCCCCAUCUACUCAAAGGAAAGAAAAGCAGUUAUAUAAGUCAAGUCAGUAAGAUAAGGAAAGCGCGCAGCCUUCCGCCUCUAAGUCUACACCCUUUAUACCUUCCUUAGGUUUCCGUUUUCGUUUCAGUGUGGGGCGAGUUUCUUUCGAUGCAGUUCUAGGAUUACUCUAAUCGGCAGCUUUGGAAUAAUACGCUUCACCCAUAUAUUGGAAUAAUACGCUUCACCUAUAUAGAAUGGAGGGACUAUGCUUUCUGCCCCUAUGGAAUAUGCUUGAUUCUCUUACCCUAUCUAACUUCUUCUUAAUAGUUGGAAUAAGGUGAGUGCUGGCCCAGUCUUCUCUAAUCUCCUUAUCGAGCUACCGAUCUUACAGCGCUUUAUUGACUAUAAUCCCUUCGAUCUCAAGGCUAGGUAAAUUAUUAAGGUUCAUUUUCAAGCAGAAGUAUGGAAAUGGGGCAAGCAAAUAAGCAAGCGGUGGGAUCUUUCAGACAAGGUAAAGGUCUAGAGCAGGCCAGAAGGCGGGACUAUUUCUUUUUCUUUCCUCAAAGGAGAAAGGGCUAGAUUCAUUUGAAGCCGGUUCACAGGUCCAUCCAAUUUCCUUAAAAGCUAGUCAGUGAGAAAGGGAAUAAACAUGGUGAAGCGAAGAGGGUUAGAAUGAAUACUAUACUUCUCCUAGGCGGGUUUCAUGAUGGAUGACUCCGGGGCUUAGAUUGCUCACAGGAUCAAAGCACUUUCUUGAUCACUGUCUUGCUCACUUAACCUUAUUUCUAACACUUACACAAAGGCUUGACAAGGUAUGGAAGAGAUAGAGGAGAGAAAACGGAACUAAGGGAUAUAGAAUGACAGGCAGUAGAAUGACAGGCGGAACGAAUCCAAGGGCUAGUCUCAAACUCUGAUAAGCCCAGGUGAGAAACUCCCUCUUACUACUGUAUGUUCAUAAAUCCUAGGCAAAAGCCCCUGUCUCUGUAACAACCAAUAGUCAAUUGAGCCACGGGAAUAAGCUUGAGUACGGAACUUAGAGCUACGAGAAUAAGCUUGAGUAAAGCUGUACUGUGAACUUAGCUACGGGAAUAAGCUUGAGUAAAGCUGUACUAAACUUAGCUACGGGCUUCUCCCUUACUUCUUCUUAUAUGGGAGCUUGCAUUGAUGCCAUCUUUAUUAGCGCCGGAUCUCUGGGCCGUAAUACUUUGAUAAUAGCCCUUCUUCCUUGCUUUCAACUAAGAUAAUAGCCCUUCUUCCUUGCUUUCAAAAAGGGGGAAGUUCUCUGCGCGUUCAUUCUCUUUCAUGUCGGAAAUCCUCUUUGAUUCUAAAGAUAGACAUUUCCAUAAAAGGCAUUUCGUCAGUCAUAUGAUUGUGAAACUUCUAAAAUAGGAGCUUAUUUGAGAACAGCUGAUUAUAAUGUCAAAAGGAACCUCCUUUUCUGAAAACAAACCGGGCAUACCUCUAAACUUACCUUCCCGCUUCAUCUCUUGAUUCUUAUCCAGCUGUAGAUCUCGUUGUUGCCAAGACAGAUGAAACUCAUUCACUUGCGCCAACAAAGCUAGAUGAACCUUCCACUUAUUAUUCUAUCGAUAAAGCUUCUUCUCGAGCUACUGGGCUACAAACUGCGCAUUCAGAGACUUAAACACUGACACUUAUACUUUACUGGGACUUUUCAUUCUCUAACCACUGCAUCGGUUCUCUGCUUUACUGACUUUUAGUCUGACUUGACUUUCUCUUGGCCUGGUCUGCCGCUUCCCGAUUCGGAUUCUAUUUUUAGGGGUACCUGGCUCAUAACUGAACUAACCAGUAUAAGUAUGAGAAUGAAGAGCUGACCCUCCACGCCUAUGUUCACCUUUCGCUCUGCCUAUCCUGUCUUAAAGCCUAUCGUUCCUGUCUCUCGUUCUGCUACCACGUCUAUGAAGCCUAUCUCUACUAGCUAUGAAACGAAAACUCUAGUUUCUCACUCCUUAGAGCUACAGCUUUGGAUCCACCAAACAACUACGAUGAAAAGAAAUUCAAAGAAAAGGGAAUUAACUAACCAAUAAGGGGAAUGGAGUGACUGACUAUAAGAGUAAAACAAAGAAAUAGGACUUAUCCUACCGGGCUGACUAUCCAUACUUGGAUUCUGGAAUUACAAAUAAGGGUCCUCGCUCUACAGCCUAAGAACCUUGCUCCACUGGCUUUGAUUCUUCUACUAAUACUCAGGUCUAUGAGCCUUGCUUUACUGCUUUGAAACCUAUAUCUCUUUGCUUGAAACCCACCUCUCCGCCUACCUCAUCCGUAUAUCUCUUCUAGCUAUCAAACAACUAACCCUUACUUUGAGUCUGAAUUACCUGUCAAAGAUUCAUAUUCCUCUAUUCCUAACUCCCUCCUAAGGAAGGGCAACGGGAUCCAACCCAAAAGUCAGAGAAUGGAACCAUCACGGGAAAGAAUAGAACCCGGGCGCCUAAGUCUCCCCCUCCUUGGUUGAAACCUAAGACUUAUUACUUUUCUUAUUUCACUCUGGUGAUCCAUUAUUUCACUGGUGAUCCGGGUCUUGGCCUUAUUGGCUGUAAGGCGGACUUGACUACCUUUGUUUUCAUUCUACUACUCUAUACUUGAGAACUUGCUUCCACAGAUAAGUAUACCGAUCCCCUAGAGCAAAGCCUGUCCGGACUCUAUCCUAAACUUAUACUGCUACCAAUAAGACUUGAGCUAAGAAGUGGGAAUCCGACCCAUCAGUCUGGGAAUUGAAACUCCUAAGUAGAAUCAAACUCAUAAGAAUAAUAAUUAGGGUACGCAUCUAGGAUAAGAGGAAGAGAAAAAACUCAGACUGAAGAGAAUCAAACUAAGCAGUAUAAGCAUCAAACUGGUAGAGCCUUGCACCCGAGAGCCCACACUCUUUCUCUUGAACCAGAUCCUUCCCUUGCUUUACUGACAUCAAAGCUGCCCUGACUUUCUUGGCCUGUCAUACUUGGGGGUAUUGAUCGAUACUCACUUGCCCCGGGCUAGCUCUGAAACUACCAACCAUUAGACUUUGACUGCAGUUUCUAAUACUUAAUUAACUUGCCGGAAAGAGUGGAGCUGCUGACAAACAGACUCGAACUACGGAUUCGGAUACUGACUUGCCACGAGCUAACUCCUCCGCGACUAACUAGUAGAAUGGAACCUUGAGCCAAUAUGACUUGAGCUACUGGAAAACAGGCUUACUUUACUGCAAUCAAUACCCUAACUAACAACGGGGAAUGCUGCUAUUACUAUCGGAAUUGAACCCAUGCUAGAAAGGGCCAAGUAGGCAAGGAAGCUCUUGUUCUUUUCCGUAGUCAACUAAUUACAUUCCAUUCCAGGAGUUCUAUUCCCCCAGCUUCCUCACCUCAUAGCUCAAUUCUUAUGAGUCAUAACCUUACUUGAUCACUGGAACAGGGCAUAGCAGCUUUCACACACUCCCCGCUCGGACCUUAUCCAAUCCUAGCUACCAAUCGCCCCUGCCGCUGAGAUUAGGACUUGCUCAUAAUGCAUUAGAACCAUUUAUGACUUGUUAUGUGUUUGGGGCAUCCACUUACGAAUUAACUCGGGAAAACAUAAUUGGUUAAAGCCUUAUUGCCUCCUGGCUAGCUACCUCUGGCAACUAGAAUACCUGGCUCAUUACAGCUGCUGGGAACUAACAUACCUGGCUCAUUCUUCUGGUUCAAACUAUGUUGCUUGGCCCUUUCCGCUUCUCCUAUUUCGGAGUAUAUCGGUAAAGAUCCUCCUCUAAUACGAAUGUGUAAUCGCUGUAUCUUAUGGAGAGGGAAAGAUUGAGCUGUAUCUUAGAAUAGAACAACCAACCAGAACAGCACCGGAAGGGCCAUCUCCCUAGCAACUAUUGAAAGGCCUUCAGAACAUCCUCAUCAUAACACUUUCCGUUAUUUAAUAAGGUACCGAAGCAUUUAUUUGGUAGAAGGAAGCUUCGAUAAAGAUUAUGUAUUUCGCUUUAGCAGCUAGGAGUUGUUUUCGAAACCAAGCCAUACCCUACCUAUCCAUGAAAGAAAGACUACAUAGACUAAUGGGCAGCUUCGAAAGCAUCAACUACUGGAAAGAUUGCAACGAGGUAAACUAAACUAACGGAAAGGGUACAUGCCUCUUACUAGAAAAUCCAGUCAAGGCUCCGGGGAUAGUCCGAUACCUCAACAAAAUGGGAAUGAUUAAUGGAAAGUAACGUGGGAAGACUUGGAUUUCUUAACUCAAAAAGGCAAAGGAAUUCCUCCACUAAUCGAUACGGAAAUGCUUCCACACCCACAAUCGAUACAAUACUGACAAGACUCAAAAGAGAUAAGGAGUCAACUGCUGCCCUUAUUUAUAGGCUUAAAGGAAGGCUGGAAGCUACGCUCCGCGGUGUAGGCUUCAUAACUGUUGCAGCGGCUUAUGAUUGGAAUAGGAUCUUUGAGCGAGCAACGUCCGAUUCUCCAGAAAAGACGGACUGCCACGAAGGCACUUACAAGAAGAAAGAGGCCUUAGAUCGCCCCUGCACCAUCAAUUAUGAGGAACCGCCCAUCAAUCAAGGAAGAAAUCCAGAAAGAAGUAAGCUUACGGGGCUAGUACUUUUUCUAAGUCGCCUAGUAAAGGAUAAAGGCAAUUCGCCUUAACAAAAGCAAUAAAGGGGAAGAGUCAAACAAAGGAAGUCCCAUUCCCUCCUUCUUCUUGCUAAUCGAUGAUAGAUAGGAGAUCAGGUUAGCCCUACCUUUUUGGAUCCCUAACCCUAAUCCAGUCUCUUAGUAGUAGGCCGGGAAAGUCAAGAAGUAGGCAUCGUACCAAUGGGAUUGAGACUGCGCUCUUUACCUUUCUCGGUUCGGGUGCAUGCACAUAUACGCUCUCUCAAAGCAUUUCUUUCUUCCUAUAGAAACACAAGUAGCAGAAAUCUCCCUAUGGUUUUAUGGAAUUCCAGAAAGCACUUUGCAACCCUCGAUCCAUUACUAAAAACCAUAUAUUACUAAAAACCAUAUACUAACCUUAUUCCAAUCAAAAGUGAUUCUUUUGUGAAACUCGUUGGCUCUUUUCGUAUAAGUUUCGAAAAAGAAGUUCUCCUAUUCGCUGCCGGAUUGAAAUGGGGAAGGGCCCAUGCUUUGAUUUUUCGAUGAGAAAUCCAUUCCAUUCUCUGCAUACUGCAAUAGAUUCCUUCCUGAAAGCUUUGGUAAGUGGAUGUAUAAUGAAUUCAUUCCUGUUUCCUUCAAGAGCAAUCAUAAGACUCUUCAUAUCAUGGCCUUUAGGAAAAGAGUCCGUCCCCGAUCUCAUUUGUGGAUAAAAGAAUAGACCCUCGUCAUUAGGGCUAGAGUUCAGUAAAGCUAUGCUCAUCUUUAUUCCGGCUCAUAUGUUGAAGCGUAGACAAGUCUUUCUCAAGGCUUAAACAUACUUGCUUGCUUGUCGCGAAGUCUGUUGGUUCUACGCCAGAAACCCAUUUGGAUUUCUUUGCAUACACUCGAUCAGUAGGCCCGCACCGUGGCGUGGUCUAUGUCUACUAAUCCAAAUUACCCCUUGAGUCUCGCCAUUUGCUUUUAUAUAGGAAGGUAUCCAAGACCUAGUACAAGCUAUCCAUCCUAUUUCAAUAAAUUGACAACAUCCUGGGAUGGAUUAGUUUUGACCCUUGCUCGUAUUCACCGUUUCAAACAACUGAGCAAGAGGGAUGUCGGCGGGGACCGCCCUUCUUUUUCCGCCUUACCCACCAUGUUCACUAUUACAUCGGAUACAUCGGAAACCUUCCAAUCAGAAGAAAAACUUCCUCUUUGGCUUUGAAGCUACAGCUACCACUUGGAAUCAAAAGCGGAAACAACGCGACGUUGCUAUUAGCUUAUUUAUUGACUUCACUUGAGGCAUAGGCGGGAUAGGGCUUUGCUUUAGCAUAGGGCUCACAAAUGCGACUGGUUCAGGUCAACUAUGAUGGUGGAUACAGGUAAAUGUGCAAAUUGCUAGGCACUAGGUAUACCCUAUGACAUUUCAUUGGCUUUUGAUAUGCAUAGCUAUCUCUCGUUGUGAGUCUCGGUCGGCUUCAGGCUCUCUCUCUUUUCUACUUUGACUCCCAGCCGUGUUCCAGGCGCCUGGAUUCCUCCGUCAGGUAGGCUUUCCGCAUUCUUCAAUAUUGCGAGGGUCUUCCCUAGUUUCCUUCGAUUUAUAAGCUUGGUCUUUGUCAUAACGGAAUCUCGGGUCUGGAGAACGAGGCAGACAACGACCUGAAAGAAAAUAGUAUCCAAUUCAAAAGAUGAUCUUGUAGGCAAGGAUACAGAUCCAAAUCCCUGUGGGGCAGAUUGAUUCUGGAAAUAUAUUGAACCAGCACAAGGUAUACAAUUCAUAACUAACACACACUAAAUAAUGUAUAUUCUACCCCCUGGCAAUUAAUGGAAUUGACUGGCCCCCCACUGGACAAGUAAAGGAGGGACAUUUGACUCCCUAGGCGUCGAAGACAUCUCAGUAAAGUACGAAUUAGCGGGGCCAAGCCUCAUCACUCAAACGAAACUAUUGGAGAAUGGAGUUACGGCCGGUGUCCAAUGCAGGGAACCAUUCCUAGCCCGGUAGAGGCAGGGCUUUCAUAGCGUUGUUCGACCGACCACGAAAGCAAGAGUCAAGAGUCGGCAAAAGUUCACCACAGAAAACAUAGUUCAAAUAGCAAGCAAACCAGAGAAAGCAUUUGAGAGUUAUUGCCUCUAUGAAAGUGAAGAAGAAAUGCACUCGAUUCCUAUUCUUUUGAAACCUCAGCUCGGGUCACGGAACUCUCUGCUCUUGGCUACGAAACUAGGCUUUGAUCUGAAUCGAUAAAGAAAUGGUUUAAUGGGUUAGUCAAUGUCGGCCUAUGCAAUGGUACACGAGUACCGAUAGUUCGAAAGACAGAACUCUUUUAUCUAAACAUAUAUAAGCGGCCUCCCUCUUAUAUACGAUACCACAGCUGCCGCUUCCUUUGCAAUUGGGGUGGGGAUCCUUGGAAGAUUGAUUCCACCAUACCAGAAAACGAAACUGCUUCCACUUGAGCCAUUCUACUUUGAACAGAAACCAUUCGUUCAGAGUCGAGAAGAGUUAUCAUCUUAUCUGUAAGAAACAGCAGGAGAUAAGAAAGAGAACAAACAGGAUUCUUUCCAAGUUCAAAGAGACAGAUCACUCCUAGCUUGGGCCGACAAGACAUCCAAUCCAAAGAAAUCGAGAGAGACUAAUUGAAACUUUAUUGAACUCAAAGAAGAAAGAAAGAAAGACCCUAGCUAGAUGACCAAAGAAAUCCCAUGAAAUCGACUCCUAAUGCCCAACCCACCAAGACCGCUUAUGUAAACCUAAACUAAGUAAAGGCUUUUGAUUGAAGAAAUGCCUUAGCUAAUAAAGAAGGGGGAGGCAUCUUGAUUCGGCUUAUUCCACUGCUGCCGGCAAUCUUAGAAUGAAUGGGAUCCUUCCGCUUCCGUUCCUUAGCGACGUAACCCGAUCUCCAGACGACUGUAAGAUCCGCUAUCGCUUCGCCUGCUCUAUUUCUCAUCGUAUUCUUUAGAGUAUUAAGUAUUGCUUGCCUUCCCUUACUUCUUAUCUUAGUAAUCCAAAUAAGGGGUCGGAUAGUCGGUUGCUGCCUUACCGUUGUUAGGUUCGAAUCGGGUAGCUGAGCUCUCUUCUGAUUAUAUGAAGUCAGUAGCGGGUUUAUAUAAUUGCUUAACUGUGUGUGUAAUGUCGACGCCCUAAUACCCCAAAAGAAGAAACAGGUCAAUGCAAUGGGAUAGGAAGAAAGGGAGCGAAGUGACUACUGCAUAAACAGCCUAUUGGACAAGACAAGGAAGAAGGAUCAGGGGGAUUCCAAAUGCAAAGCCAAACGCCGCCCGAUGCCGGUGAGUCAGGUAGGGUCGAGUAAAUUCAUUCAACAAUUCCAUGAGCGGGAGCGGACCUUUCUUUAAGGGAAGGCUAAUAUCUAGGCUAAUAUUAUUGAACCUGAACCCUAUAGCAAUCAACGCACCUUUGGUUUUGUCAACACUGAGAAGCGAAGAGAAGUUUGGCACAGAAAAAGCCAUGCUCUGCUAAAGGGAAUCGGUGGGGCAUUGCUUUCUUUAACUAGUUCACUAUAAAUCAGAUAGAAUAGAAGGCUAAACAACUUCCUAAAAAGGGCUCCUUCGGGCGGGCAUUAACACGGAUCUAACGACUAUUGGCCGAUCUCAUUCUCAUGCACGUGGAUAUCUUUACCUAUGGAUCUUCCCUUUCCUUUAGGACAGCCAGAAGGGCGGAGCUCUAUGUUCUAUUGAAAGCAAGCUGUCCUAUCUGUCUAUUAGUUAAAGCUGUGAUGUGGCAUUUCUUCAACAGCAACUUCACAUGCACAAACGGACCACUCAGCACUUCUAGGAGUCACCCCUUUGCUUUAGUGUACCGUCGGAUUGUGAAGGUGUUUAGUAAUCGGAUGCUCUCGAGGAAGAUGAAUUAGAUGAGCAUAAUUUCUCUCAGUAACUGCUUGGGGGCAAAGUGUUUUUUUGUGGCUUUCAUGAAGAUGAGACAAAGCUUGCUGUAUAUAUAUUCCAUUCACUCUUUGAGAUGUGAGGUGCCGGAGUAACCUUGUAAGAUAAGGAUAUUGAUAUAGGCCGAGAGAAGAAGAUCAGAUGGUUCAGCUAUCUCUUCUCCCUAUCCCUAUGAUAGUUGACUAUGCGAAGCUAGUAAUACAGUUCCAUUCGGGGCCAACCACCUGUCUUUGGCCGACUCACUCCGGGAUAGAACACAUUUGAAACCAGUGUCUCUGAAACGAUUUGGAUUGACAAAAAAGGACAUGUCCUGCCGACGAAAGAAAAAGAUGUGAGAAGGGCCCUUACUGUCCAUGUUUAUAAAAAGCAUUCGUAUUUUAGUUGUAGGAUCUUUUACUGCCUUGUGAAAUCCUCUAUUCAUGAGGAAGAAAGAGGUAUAUUUCAGAAAGUAGACUAUAUCCAUCCUAGGGGCUGUCACUCAUUCAUUCCUUAUCGAAUCCAUAAUAUCACUUAUAUAAAGCUUGAAGCAAGUGGCAAUGUAUUGAAGUUAAGGUUCUUUAAAAGAGAGAGUGGUUCAGGCGUGCUUAAGGCAUAGGCGAUCUUCAUCAACCCGACGUAAUGUACUCACUAAUUUCAUGAAAAAGAUCGGUCGUUCUAAAUGUAAGCUUAUUUUCGAAAAGUGAAAGGGCAUUCCUUGAGAGAAAGUCCCCCAUCCACUUCUUGAACAAGCCCAUAUAACGAGCCUAGCUGUAGCAGCCCUUAUUGCGACAGAGAGAGAAAACAACAAACAAGGAAAUAAGAAAUGACUGGCCAAUCUCGUGCCCUGUAAGAAGGAAGGCUCUCAGUCCCAGGUAAAGAUCUUUUCAGGCUUGAGGAAUCCGGAAAGUCAGGUUAUCAAUCAGCAUGCUAUUUGAAAGUAAGUCCCUCGUUUAAAUAAAGUGGAGAUUGUAAGGCUACCCUAAGAUACCCACCCACCGAAACCGAAGCGGAUCUUGGGCCCUCGGGGGAAGGGGUAGGCUAUUCACAUUAGUCAAGCACUUAUAGCAUUAAGCACUUAUAGCAUUAAGUGUAUAAUGGAAUAUAUGUAUAAGAUAAGAGAGACAGAUUUCAAGGGAAGGAAAGGAGUUUUGGAUUGCUCGCAGCUAGCAGCUGACGCUGCCCUUGCUUUUUAUUGCUCACAGGAUAGAUUCCAUUGGCCUGUGCCUCACUCGAGGGAUUCCAUUUGAUGCUUUCAAUGGACGAAAGAGAAACCCCUAAAUCACCCUAUAGUAAAUAUAUCUAAAGAACCGGCCCGGCACACCUAAGAUUCCGGAGUCAAUAGCUUAUAACAUAUCCCUUCUUUCAAGAGUGCCUGUGGAAGUUGUCGUUGCUUUUUAGCAUCCAGUGAGGAAGGAAGUGGAAUACUUGCAAGUGUGAAGGCUAUUCAAAUAGACAAGCUUUAUCUCCUAUUCGAUAGCUCUCGGAGUAUCUCGCAAGCUAUCCGAAAAAAGAGAAAAAGCAGCUAAUCUUUCAAAGGAUAGAAAGUCAUUGUAGCUAAUCUUUCAAAGGAUAGAAAGUCAUUGUCGGAUGUCUUUGAAGAAAGCACAGCCCUUGGAAUCCAUCUGAGGAAGCUCUUGUCUUGCUGCGGAAAAUGACCUAGUGCUUAGCUAGUGGUUAGGCAGUAGAGUUGGCCGGGCAAAGCAACUACUAUUAGUUUCAGUUUCAAGAUAAGGAGAAAGAGAAUCCGAUAGAUCAGAGGUUGUGUGAGCUCCCGACGAAUAAAGAACUUUGGAAGUAUAUUGACAAGCUUAUAUAACAAGUGCUAAACCAAGGCUAUGGCAACUCAUAAGGUUAUUGCUCAGCCAAGUAACGACUAGACAAAGACACUCUAGACAAAGAAUGCAACUCAAACAUUGGAAUUAGUGGUAGGGGUGUAAUAGAAGAUGUCACUAGCCUCUCCAUGGGUUCUAAAGUCGGAAAGUGAGAAUUCCAUUCAUAAGUCUGAGUUUACCCCCCUCUCGCCAACACUACGUUGCUUGUCUAUCCGCUUGUUGGUGUCUUAAUAGGGAUAGGGGAUUUUUCUGUUAGCAUAGUGAAACCUCUGUUCCAAUGUGUUUUUUCUUGAUAACAUAGCCCAGCAGAGAGAGUAGUCGACUUUCCGCGGGCAGCUGCAUAAACAUUAUUUCCGGAUACUCCUGCCUUUCGCCUCGCACUAGGAUGAAACAAAAACUCUACUUUUAGAACAGUUGACUUGCGCCUUAAUCGAUUAACAGCUGGUUCUCAAACUGCGGAUUCUUUCUAUGACAAAUAAGGUAAAGCCAAUCAAUCACCUCUAUCUUAGACACAGUGAUGAAGUGAAGAAGCACAAACAAACUAUAAGGCAAAGGCAAGAAGGAAGAAGGCGGAUUUCCAAGUCAAAGCAAUCUGAAUCAGACAAUUAUCAUCGACAAACAGAUUCCACUAGGGAUGAAACUGGGCCAAGCAAUUAGGCAAGGAGCUUGUCUAUAAGUGCAAGCUACGUAUAAUAUGGUUAGUUACGCCAUCUAGUGAAACCAUCUUCUAUAUCCAUAAUACUAGUAUAGUCGUUUGGUUACUCAUCCCGGCGCUUGGUCAUUAGUAGUUGUUGGGUUACAGACCUGAGCCUAGUAAUGGUCCCUGGCUUUCUCCUUUGCAUUCAAAACAACAACUCCACCAGUAGCUUGUUCCGAGUCAACCACUCCCUUACAAGCAAGUAGACCAGUCAUUUCACUUGCUUGCUAUGAAGCAUAAGAUCAGAGAACUCCUCACGCGUAACCAAGCAAACUAGCAACGGAAGAAGAUAAUACCAACCGUAGCUACGACUUCUGGAACUCUACUUGAACAGAUGCAACUCUUUCUUCUCAAGUGGAGGAAGGCAGAAUGAACUCUUCCUUAUCUCGAGUCUAAAACAGAUGAAACUGUAAGCAGCAGCUGAUGAUCAAUAGGAAUAAGUUGCAUCUUUUUGUGGAACAAAUCAUUCUUAACCGGAAACAGCUACUCUACGCGUGCUUUCCUCUUCUGCAAUCACUCCACUUUCCUUUCGAACGGAUUCCUAAUACUCAACAAGUGACAGAACAAAUAGACUUUACUGCAGCAUUCCAUUUCAAAUUGACUCUAUCUCUUCUCUUACCCGCGCAUUCCAAAAUGGAUUCCUCUUAUUAAGACGAUUCAAGUAGAACAGUCCAUUCUCUAAGUAGUGAAGUCAGUCCUAUUGUAUUUCUCCCUAUGUUUCUCCCCUUUUGAUUAAGUAAGAAAAUCCGCAUAUAUCUCCAGUCCUAGCGUAAGGGAGUGCCCUUAUUUUCUGGUAAGCUGCCAUUGUGUGCUGCGUAUUUGGUUUCUCUCUAGUUCCUGUGGGAGCUACCUGUCAUCGAGUGCUAGUUCCGAGUCAUGCACUUCUUUUGAGUUAGAUAUCCCCAUUUCUAUCAAAAAGGAAAGCACUAUCCUAACCUAGAAUAUGAUAUUCUAUAUUGCAAGUAAAUAAAAGGAAAUAAUACAACAACUAGACAUUUCUAUUGGAAAAGAGCAUAUUCUAAGAAUCCUCCAAACCACCUUAAGGCCGCUCACAUUCCAUUCCUUCUAGGCGUGGUGUAAGGACGGGGGUACCCUCGAUUUAAGCCUGUUUCCGUGCCCAAUUAGAUCAUAUUUCCGAUUUCCAGGCAAUAGUUUCUAGUUAUAGCUAAGUGCUUCCAGCGCGAUCCACAGCCUAGGGAAUAAGCCCCGAGGUCAUCUUUAGAGGUCCCUCUUGAUUAUUGCCUUUGCUUAUCCAAGUAAUCCAGCCGAGCCAGUGUGAGCGCCUCCUCAGGAAGUUUCAGAAUAUGUCUUAUCGAGGACCGGUCCUAAGCAGGUAUGAAUACAUCUUUCCUUUGUUGUAGGGCCGGCUUGAAUAUGGCUCCGUACUAUACUCUCUAUAUAGCGUGUAUAAGGCCCGCUUGUCUAAGGCCAGCAUAUAUAGCCUUUAGUUCUCGGCUGGAAGUUCUCUAUUACUGUAGUUUUUUGAGUUUGAAAGCCUUUCGCACAAGCAAGUGGUGAUAACAAACCCUAAAUGCGAAAAAGGGCUUACCAAAAUAGAAGUAUGGCAUAGGCAUACUUUCUUUUAUACAGUCGAGCAUAAGUUUGCUGUCCAGUUAUUAAGCAUUAUCCGAGUUUAGGAAGUACUACAUAAAGCUCUCCUCUGCCUGAGUUAAGGAAGUACUACUACUACAUAAAGCUCUCCUCUGCAGGCCAAAAGCCGUUUGAUUUCUAUCAGAUCAGGUCCUUACCUUGCCCUUCCAGUUUCCGUGGCAGUUGUUAGCCAAUGUUCAAUCCUCAGUAUGUACGUCCAUGGAAUUUCAAAGGAGGCUCACUAUCCAAAAGGCUAUUAGGGCAACUAUUUCUCCCCAAAAUACAAUAUCUUCCCGCUUUCCCGUCACGCUAUAUAUUCCUUUGCAUUGUAUAUCACGAGUGUUAGUUUCCACUAGCUUAGGAUGGUUUCUUAUGCUAUAAAGAUGGAGAUAGAUUGAUUGAGGAGAUUCAAAGGGAGAAACUGCUUAUAUUCCUCAAAUCUUAUAUAGAGAGAACAAAGAGCAUAUAUUCCGAUAGUAGGUGUACCGUGAGUGGAAGGGCUAUAAUUCUUCAAUAACCCCGAGCUCAGUUCUAGGGUGGCAAUGUGGUUUUUCCAGAGGUGGUAGAGGCGGGCCAACGGAGGUCUUUCAGUUCUACCUAUCGCAUGCAGCCACGCAUCCGAGUCCAUUUAAUGAAAUAAGCUACCAGUGUCACCAGUGUAAUAACCAAUUCAUUAGUCUUAACCGGUGAAGAAGGAAGAAUGGACAAGUUUGUUUUGCAUUUCUUUCCGAGACCUUAACAAGGCUUGCAAAAAAGAGCACUUUUCACUGCCACCCCACAUUGAAAUCCUCGUGUAGAAAAACGCUGGCUACGAGAUGUUAUCAUUCAUAGACGCUUUUCUCCGGCCAGAUUAAGCUCGCUAAAGAAGAGCAAGAGAAGACAUCAUUCACUACACCCUGGGGAACCUACUGCUAUGUUGUCAUGCCAUUCGGACUUCCAAAUGCUGGAGCCACAUAUCGAAGGGCCGGCCAUCUUUCCAUGAUAUGAUACACGACUGUAUGGGAGUAUACGUUGAAAUCCCGGGAAGCUAACCUUCGUCUAGUCCUCGAAAGAGCCCUAAAAUGGAAGCUCAAUCAGAAUCCAAAGAAAUGCUCGGUCUAUCUGCCGGAAUGCUCCUCGGCUUUAGUGGCUUGAUCAUAUAGGAUUUUACUCAAUCAAAGGAAUUGUUAGCAAACGAGGGCAUUAAGCGUGGAUCCGUCCAAGGUGCGUGCUAUACUCCAGAUGUCUACGCCAAAUAAUAUCAAAGAACAGCGAGGUCUCAUUGGAUUGACCUACUUCAAUCAAUUCAAAGAAAGAGAAAUAGGCUCAUUGACAGCUAGCCGCGGACCGACUAGAGGAAAUCCUACUAAGCACACUGGUGAAAUGAUGUAUCUUAAAUCAGAAAUCUGCAGGAAGAGCAGCAGUUAGUAGUUAGCGCGAAGGAGCUCUUUCGCUGAAUCAUCAUCGGUUCUAUAUCUUUUACCUUAUUCCAAAGGUCCUUUUCUAGAGGGGCGAAGACCACUUCCCCAUUUGAAGAGAAAGGCUACUAGUACGCUCUUUGAAGGAAAGAAAAUAAUGCGCUGGUAGGACAACACUCUAGUGGGAAAAUAGACAAGACAGUCAAUCCAUUCUUGAAAGAAGGGCUUGUUUGCUACGUGAAAUGACAUAGGUUUCCAUCUUAUUCAGAUGCUCAAUUACCGGUCUUUACAGUAUUGCUAAGAGUUUGCUUGCACUGGAUUGGCAGGCGACGACAUCUAUGGAAUUAACGUUAACGGCCAAGGAUAGGAUUUUCGGAAGAAAGCUGUCCAAUUGGAUAAGGGACAUAGCUAAGGAAAAGAAAAGAUCCAACUCAUCGAAAGAUGCCCCGAAGGAACUGCAAGAGAUGAGACAGUUGCUUUCACUAAAGGACCGAACGUUAUAGCCAUAAUCUGAGGUAGGGCCUUUAUUACAGUGGGAAAGAUGCAUCGAAAGUAUAGGCCUUCCUUCUUCCUUUCUUUAGUUUGGACAAAGGGUCUCUUCUCUUUACUGUUGAUGCGGCAUAAAGGCAGUUAGGAAUCGAUCUAUAUGCCAAGAAUAAGACAAGGAACUGACAACGCUAAGUAAGAGCCGGGAUAAAGAUAGGCCGUAUCCAGGAAUGGCGGGAUGCCUAAUGUCUUAGAUAAGGCACGGAACUAAUAGCAAUGGAAUCAUAAUCUUGAGUAAGGACAAAUCCGGCUAAAACAUAAUUGAUGUGAAACAGGGGCUUUGACUUUCAUGAACCAAUAGACUAUAUCCUGCCAUAUAAAUACACUCUCGAGCUAUGUUAGGACUGAAAGGGAUAGCUACGUUCUUAAGUUAGAUAGAUUGUUUGAUAACUCAGAAGAACUCAUAGACUAUAAAUCACUUAAAGUCUUAGAAGAGUUAUUAAGUUAGACAGAGAGAUCACUCUUUCUCUAUAAUAAGCUUUCAGGACAAUGAGAGACAGAGAGUGAGAAUUGUGACUCCAAAGAGGGAUUUAUUAACCUUUACGUGAUCGGUAAGACCUCCAUUCCAUUAUCACACUCCACUUCUUGUCCAGCUCUAGCAAUUCCAGUUGUUGGCGACUCGAAAGGUUCUUUUGUUGAAGUAUAAGGAGGUUCACUUGAUUGACUUUAAUCGUUUAUGGAAUCAGAGGUGUUGUAUCGUAUAGAAAAAAGGGUCAUUAUGGAAUCAGAGGUGUCACUCGCAAAGUCAAUAAAUGGAAUCGCGGUGCGACUUACCUUCUCAAGCACACAGAGACUCGUAGAUGACACUGACUUACCGCUUCUGAAGGACAGAAAGAGAGACCUGUUCCUAGAUGUACCCAAUUCUCUUAUGUACCCAAUUCUCUUAUUUAUUCUUUUUUUUGCACUCCUAUAUUCUUAAAGCAAUGGAACAAACAGACGAGCGACUCGGCGCCAAGUAACGGAUAGAAAAGUCACUACUACAAAGGCAAAGAGAGGAGACAAGCAACUAUGGCUGGGUAAGAGACGGAGUUAACGUUGUUAGCCUUGCAGGAUUCUGUUUCUUGAUCAGAUCCAUCACCUCAAAUCUAUGGUGAGUGCAACCAUCCCUUAUUAAGUAGGUAAGAGUCAAAGGUAACAUAAGAGGGCUUUCUCACUCAUGUUGUAUUAGGGUUGACUUUCGAGUGGCUUUAACUAAUUCCACAAAACAAAACAAAGGGCCACGCGUUACAGCAAUACCAUAGAGAAAGUGAGCUUAGAAAAGAUCCGAGUCCAAAAUAGCUUGGAUGUUUAAUGUAUUCAGUACGCCGGCAGGCAGAGCCUAAAACAAAGGAUCGUUUCGCUGGAAUGAUGAAUCUAGAUACUCCCAUGAAAAGGCUCUUAGGACUCUAAAACGAAUGAAGAAGUAAGAAGCGCCUGUGGUAGCAAGCAAGAAAUAGUUAGCGCCCCAUAUAUCAAUCUGAUAUUACCUCUUUCUCUAUCUGGUGAAGAGAGAAUAGAAGAGAAGAGAGUCUCAAUAGGGCACCCGUCGAGUCCAAAGCUCCAGCUCAAGCAGUUCAGUCCACAAAAAAGAGAAGUCUGCCAACUAGCUCAAGUAACAAGUGUAAAGUAGUGGAAAUCCAGUACCCAAAGGAAUAGGUAAUGCAAGAAUCAAGAGAAAAAGGGCCUUAGGGAGCAGUCAGGAUAGCAACUUUCUGGGUGGAAAAUGUGUAUACUUCAAAAGAUUAUUUGCUUUACCCGGAAGUCACAUAGUAUUCUACUCGUUUCGUAGCAUGAGAUCCUAUUGGCACGGAAGUGAAGAUUGAGAUCAGAAAUACCUCCUCUCUUCGCCAACUAUAAGCCCUUCAUGGACUAACCAUUUGUCCUCUGGAUUUGAGUGGCCUUCUACGGGAACGGAACUGACUAUGAACUUAGGUCUUGAUCCUCCCCGGAAAUGUUGUUCUAUCUGGAAGCAUCAGGGAGACGUGCAUCCUGUCUCUUACCUUACCCAUUUCCACCAACGAGUUAGAGAGUCGCUUUUCUAGAAGGAAAUCCUCUGAAUUCUAUGAUGAGCUCUUUUGAUCUCAGAAAGAGUAAAGCGUAUAAUUAUGGAAAUGAGGGCUUCUUUCCUAGCAUGCGGACAAUCUCAAGAGGGUGGUGAUGCCACUUAUACAACUACUAACACGGAGAUUAAGUGGGUCUAUUGUAUUUUCGGAAUCUCUACAUGGUGAGCUUUCUGAGCCACCCAAGCCAAUCAUCUUACGCGAUAAGAUUGAGAGGAUCCUUGCUAAAAGCUAUUCUUAUUCUGAUAGAUAGUUACUCAUCUCCAUACUUACUUAGAUAUGGAAGAGUUAUCUAGAUGACUUCGACUCAGAAGGCUAAGCUGCUACCCAAAACCUUCUUAUGAUUAAUUACUGACAGCUACAAGAUGAUCCAUAUAAUAUUAGAUUCAAGUUAUACUUCUUCAAGAGCAAAGCAUCUUAUACCGAGAAGCUAGUUCUGGCCCUGACAAGAAAAGAAGAAAGAAUAAGGAAGUGUCUACUUACUUAGUACUGAGUUAGCUUAUAUGAAAGAAGUCGAUGAACUCAUGCAAGCGCAAGGGCGAGCUACCAACUCUGGCUUUUGACUCACACACUUCUAGAAGUCAAAAAGGAAUGCGCUUCACCGGUUGAUCAUGUAUGGAACUAAACGAUCUUUGCUAUACCACGUGAGUACUACCCUGUCUUGUACUUUGUUCGACAGAAUGAAUUAAAGAAUUGCUUCCUGCGAGGGAAGGGUAUAAAAUCUCAGGGCCAACCCACUACUACAAAAGCACAGGUUGCCAGAGCGAACACUAGCUGCCCUGACGCGAAGUUGCAAGGAGGUGGAUGAGCAAGAGAAGAGGAGAGGCGUGUUGGUGCUGCCGAAUUACUAUAAGGUCCUGUUCUUGCCCUUAAGUAAAUUGCUGUAAGUACUGAGUUGUGCCGCGUAGGUCAGUUAUGAAAGUGGAGUUCAAUUGUCUAGGUUCGUAGCUAGGGAAAGAAAGAAAGAAAGGGCUGCCGAAAGAAAGGGCUGUGAACUGCUACCCACCUCCACGACGCAAAGGCUUAAACCCUUAAAGAGGAAGAGAGGAAGACCGCUUGCCAACAUAUAACUUCACUUAGCAAUUAGCAUGGUACUCUUUGUAUUUCUCUUAGCAUAUGCUCCCCAUCCAUACCUCGUAAUCCCUAUGUUUAGCUUAGCACAGGUCUUAUUCGAGACGGUUUUUUUGAUGUGUUCGGUUGGUAGGUAUCCCGGCUGAUUGAUGCUGGGGUAUGUUAUCUACAUUCAUCUUAUGCCUAGGUUCGAUUGAUGCUGGAGGUUAUGUUAUCUACAUUCAUCUUAUGCCUAGGUUCCGUUCUUAUAUCACCGUUAUUAAAAAGGCAUAAGUCUUCGUUGCACUAAGGCUUUAACCACUAACUUCGAAUUGAACAGUGCCUAUAGUGAAUCAAACAAAGAGCCCAAUGUCUAGCUAUAGGGCUUGGAUAGUCAAUAAAGAAUUGCGCCAAGCAGCAACAGAGCAAAUCCCUUUCCCGAACUCUCUCCUUCAGCUGCUCUUCCGCCACUCCGAACUCCGAGCCUUGCCCUACUUACCUGGGACCUUGCUUUGAAACCGACACCCAUUAGCAGCAUCGCCUAUCUGUUAUUUGAGUCCUGCACAGCUUUCUCUAUUCUCACUACCCAGUCUGCGACUACUUGAUCUAAGGUGUUUCUAAGCCUUGCUUCACUGUCUCCGAGCCUGCCGCUCCGACAUCUAAAUAUGUAUUUCACCCUUGACUCUGUCACUACUUCCCUAAAGUCUUUGACGCCGAGCUUAGGAUCUAGGAAAGGGAGAGCUCCGAUUCUGAUUAUGCCCUUACUUAACCUAGCAUUCCAGUCAAUGGAAACAAGAGGAUAAGAAGUCAGAGUGGGUUUACAAUCUAGUGCAUCAGAGCUCUAAGACUAAGGUAGUAUGAUCUAUUACAUUAUAAGACCCAUACCCAUAGUUGUAAGUAUAGAAUGCAACAAAGGCUAAGGAAUGAAACAAAGGUAUAUUAAUUCCACUUAUUCUCCUCGUCUACUGGCGCUUCUUCCCUACGGAAAUUCUGUCUACCAGACUCAAAAGCGUACUUAGGGAAUAGGUAGUGAACCCUAGAGACAGUAAACUCAGAAUGAAAGAAAGGUUAGUAAGAGGCGCGGUAGGGCAAAGCUCUAAGUAAAGGAUGCCAGGAACAAGUAUCAAAACUACAGUCAAUAAUUUCCGUUUUUGGGUUACGAGCUGAGGAGCUAGAGCCGUUAUCUAAGAAUCCGAGUCAGGGGUCUCCUGGGGUUAAGAGCUAGUAGCGGCAUAUUGAGAUAAGGCAUUGGAAGACCUUAAGUUAUUAGAUAUAGAAUAAGAUACAUGGAUUUCAGUUUGAUAUCAAAGAUAGAGGUAUACUAUGAGUUAGGCAGUAAGCAAGGGUUUAGGUCCAUAGUAGCAGACUAACAAUCGAGCUAUAGAGAAUGAAAGGCAGGGAACUUAGGCGGGUCGACAUCCAUAGAUAGGGAAUUGAACGACUACGAAUUCGAGUAAAACAAAGAGAUAGGGUCAAUGUAAUUGAGCUACUGAUACGGAUCUUUGCCUUACUUCACUCCAUUCUGACUGUGCUUUCUCUUACUCUUUGACUUAUUACUUGGAUUCUCCACUUUCAAACUAAAAACACCCGUUAGUCUCACGCCCGCCCUUUGCCUUAAAUCUCUAUUGAAAUUGAUACUAUACUAGCCCUGCCUGUUACUCUUCACUAGAAAACGGACUUCCUUUUCACCGGGCAAGCAACUGUUCGUUCUUGGGGCCGUCUCGCAUAAACUCCCCUAUCAUACGCAUUGGUAUAAACUUAGGACAACGUGGGCCAUCGGUAAUUCAUUCGCGGGCGGGUCUCGCAUUAACUCUGUCUUCUCGCAUUAACUCUGGCUUCUCGCAUUAACUCUGUCUUCGGGCCGGGCUAAACUCUAUUUCAUCUUGGUGCACACAAUCAUUCUGUGCUAUGGUCCAGCAACUCCGGUCCCGUCUUCGCUGUGCUAUGGUCCAGCAACUCCGUCAACGUGGAUCAUCAGACAUCGGCAAGGGGCUCAUUCCUUAAGUCAACCAAUCAUUCUCAUAUAUACACUAUGCGCCUCGGACGUGCGGGUCGAGCAACAAGGUAGUUAACUCCGCCUCCAAGUAACGUAAAUAAGUCUUUCGCUGGUGUGGUUCGGUUGUAAUCGCUGUCAUUCAUGGAAGGGCCGGGCAACUACGUACCUCGGUAAUUCAUUCAUAGGUAGGUCAUUCGUUGGGUGAAACUACAUUGAUUCUGAGGGCAAGCUUAGUAUACUACUCAGGUAUUUCACUAAUUCUUAUUUCNNNNNNNNNNNNNNNNNNNNNNNNNNNNNNNNNNNNNNNNNNNNNNNNNNNNNNNNNNNNNNNNNNNNNNNNNNNNNNNNNNNNNNNNNNNNNNNNNNNNNNNNNNNNNNNNNNNNNNNNNNNNNNNNNNNNNNNNNNNNNNNNNNNNNNNNNNNNNNNNNNNNNNNNNNNNNNNNNNNNNNCAGGUAAUGGAACUCAUCAGUACAAGGCCGAAACCGCUAAUACUAUCAAAGUGGAACCGGGAACUCAACCCCUAUAUCCUAUCUACGAGCCUGCCCUACCUUAUAUUCUGAAUUGAACCACUCUAUUCUUAUCCCUCUGUGCGCUCCCGCUUGUCAACUACUUUACUUGCUUUCAUUCCCCCAUAAGUACUGGUAUCUUUCUGAGUCUCCUAAUUGUAUCUCUCUUUCUAUAUUCUCUUUAUCGGUAUUAAAGUAUAGGCUUUCAAUGAAUUAGAAGCUAUAUUAGGUGCAUUCAAUAGUGGAUUUCCCAUCAACUCCAAAUAAGUGCUGCUCUAGCUCAUUUGAAACUAAUCUAUUUAUUGGUAAAGGCAGAGAAAGGAACAAUACUAUUAAGCUCGGAACUCAGCAUCAAAGGGAUAAGUAGAACACUUGAACUCAACACUUGCAAUUGAACUCGGAACAGGGAAUUCACUAACUUAUAAUAGGAAUGGGACUAGCGAUAACAAGACUGGAGCUACUAACUACCAGAAUGAAAACAUCGAGUGGUAACUAAAUCCAGUAGUAACAGAGUUAGGUUUGUGAUCCCAAGAAUGGUCUUUAGUAUGGGGGAAAGCGGAAUGAACCUCAUUAGUCAAAUCAUAUUAAAGGAAUGCGCCAGGGAAUGCACCAAUGGAUACGUAAUGAAACAAUAGAUACGGAAGCCGGCUUGACAUAGAGAAUGAGUCGUCUACGCGGACUAUCCGAAUGAGCUCUGUGGGCAGGGGAUCAGAUCCACCCCAUCAGCAUAUGGAACGAAACCACCCAACUAUAUUAUGACUUUUCUUAAUAGCCAAAUAACUUACCCGACUCUCUUUGGACAGUGCCAAUGCUAUUAUUAGUUGAGAGUUGGGGUAGAGGAGAGGGAUGCCGAGAUUCAAGGUAGAGUCAAUUAGGCUUAGAAGUAGAGUCAAUCUCCGGGGGUUUUUAAUCAAGAGUAAGAAGAUAAUAUGAUAUAAUAUAACGGAAUACUCAAUUUCAUAAUCAAAUAAACAAGUCAAAACCAAAGACAGUAGCUAAGGAAGUAAAGUAAGGCAGGGCAUCCUUGUGGAAGCACUAAUUAAUGAAUUCAAAUCAACAGUUUCGGCUUUAAAGCAAGGGGGGACAUUCUUGUUAGUCAGUGGCUACAGUCUGUUAGACAGUGUUCGAUCUGAUAGUUAGUAUAGUUGUUCAAGCCCUAGUUCUUAGUUUAAGUAAUAGGAGGAGUAGUUUGAUUCGUGUCCUUCAGCUCAAGUAUUAGAAAAGCUACAGUCAGUACAAAAUAGGGUACUUUGUUUUGACUUUGAAGAUCUCUCUGUUUGCUCUUUCUGCGGCUUUCUCCCCGGUGAAAAGAUGAAUUCAAUUGGCUCACUCGAUCUGGAAUGGAACCGGAUAAUAUGAAAUGGGCUCUCGACCCAGGCCUUGCUUUGUUUACCUGUCUUAUCGUAUCCAAAAAGGUUUCCCAGCCUAGCCUAUCUCGUUGUUUGGUACCGAAAGAUGGAAUCGGGCAGCUCAAAACCAGCCCAAUCUCUUCAUGGUCAACAUCCCCUUUUCUUAAGCUUUUCGUCUUGUUGCAUGUGCCUUACGGUAUCCUCCGUCCUCUCUGUUUCCUAUGAUUGAAGUUCAGAUCCGCAAUAGUAAGUAUAUGAAAGGGCAGCUUUCCUUGGUAAUAAAAUGCAUAAGGAAUCUGGUUUUCAUAGAACUGAGGACUAGAGGCCUCCCCACCCAAUUGAGAGGAGAAAGUCUUUUCUUCUAAAACCCAACCAGUUGUUAGAGAUGGGUCGGAUAGGCAAUCAACAUGAUUGGUCCCGUCCCAGUUUAAGUAGUUGGAUGUGAGUGCGUCGGAUAAGCGAAAGCUAGCAGUAUAUCGAUCAAAGAAAUCAUACGGAUUUAACAACCUACAGAUUCUGAAUAAGCUUCAUUGUUCCCACCAUCCAUAUUAUAUCAUCCAAGAAAGAAUUAUAUCAUCCAAGAAAGAAUAAGAAAUGAGAGAAUAGAAUACAGAAUUAUAUCAUCCAAGAAAGAAUAAGAAAUGAGAGAAUAGAAUAUAUGAGUAAGAAUCAAUCGUUCAGUGAUCGCUACGCUUGAUUGAUUGGGGCUACUCACACGGGGUUGGAGAACACAGGACUUGUUUAUAACUUGAAGGAAUUGUUAUAGGAAGCAGCCCUGCCGCGCUACAACUACUUGGAAGCCGCCCUAAGGGAAUGAGUUGGCGUGGGAAGCUUUCUCACCGGGGGCAAAGCCAAUUCACCUAUAUAAGAAGAGAUAGAAUUAUCCACUGGGCAAGUAACUCCUAAUGUGUAGCGGCAGCCUUCUCCACUUUUCUGGAUUAUUUAUGAUUUCUAAUUGAUUGUUUUCCAAGUCAGUAAACUCCCUGAGCCCGUAAGUAAACCAGCCGACCUUCGCCUCAAAGCGAGUACUCUCUGGAACAAGCCUCCCCUAACAAGCAAGUAAGUCAACCAGAUCUGUGCAGGAACCAGAGGUAUAGUAGCCAUUGUCUAGUACUAAUAGGUCUAAGCGAAAUAGGGUUUCCAUUUCUGAUAUUAGUUCUCGCUGUAGUAAAAGCAAGAAUUCCCCAUACCCUCCAAAGGGAUUCAAAUCUUAGCAUGAUGAGCAUCCCUUCAUUCUUCCCAGCGUUCCAGUAUAUAGUCAGGGUCACUGCAUCUUUUAUUAAAGGGUAGAGCAAUCCGAAUCCCUCCCGCUAUUUUCAAGCUUACAUCUCUUGUGAUUGUUACCCUUUCAUUAGAUUGCUUAUAAUAACUCGAUCGUAGUGGUUCAGUCUCCUCUAACCAAUUACUUGGUUCCCAAUUCUCAUCCCUAGUGUAGGUGAUUUUGAUUCCCCAGGAAGUUUUACACCCUCUUAUAAAGGCUUGGAGAGGCCAGUCAGCAUAUAUGGUUUGCUUGUUUCCUUUAUUUGUCUUCUACUCUUCUCCCGUCUGCUUCAGGUUCCACCAAUCCACAUUCUGUUUAUGGUGUUCAUUCGAAAUAAUAGCUAAGGAUAUCGGCCUCCAAAGAUUCUUUAAGAGCAUCAUUUGUUUCCACUGAAUUUGUGUUUUUUCCAGUGGUAUUAGUUCUUUCUUCAUCUCAAGGGGUAUGUUUGCAAACUCGAGUGUAGACAAUAUUCCUUUAACCUGCUCCCCUAAGCUUAAUUGCUCGGCGUGCAUGUGUGCUGUUAACAGGCUCUUAGCACCCGAACACAGGACUUAGUAAUUCCUUGGCUGAUAGCAAUUCCAGACUUCAGUACUUAUGGUCAUAGGUGUCUGAUUCUUUGACUGACUAGUGGAAUUCUGAUCUUAGGAGUUUCAGCUCUAUUCUGAUCUUAGGAGCUGUGCUUACUGGUGGAAUUCUCACUUUUUGGAAUUGGAUUCCUCUGAUUGAAUCAUUGGUCCUAAGGUCUGUUUCAAUUCGAUUUGCAUCUGUAUUUGCGACUCGAUUUCCUUUAUUUCGCCCUACAUGCCUAUACUCUAAUAAGUUGGAUGAUGCCCUGGCAAAAGCACCUACUCUGACGACUAUUGAGUUUCUUUCUGAGUACCGACUCCAGGUAGCCUUCCCUCCCACACCACACGCCCACUCUUCUAGUAAUAUAUCUCAUUCCCUAUUGUUCAUUUGGUUCUUGGACUGAUGAGUUCAACUCCUUGUCUGAGUGUUGAUGCCUCUGAUUGAAUCAUUGGUGAAAAAGUCAGUAGCCCGCUCUAAGUCAUAUAAGUGAGUAGUAUGCCCAGAGUAAUAUGGAUAGUCUGCUCUUAUUCUUUCCUAACAAAGAAAGAAAGGAAUUCCAAUGAUCCUAGGCAAAUAAAAAGAUGUUGCCCGCACCCUCCAUCACAGAAUAGUUAUAGGUAUCAAUACACCCAAUCCCAGAUAGCAGCCAAGAAGCACUAGCCAGAAAACACAAAGCCCCCUUACUAACUCCAACGGGAUUCGCCUCCUGAAAGACUCCAACCACCAUCUUAAUGAGUCAUGAAGAGUAUAACGAACAUACCUUAUCUACACAUUGGAUCGAUAGGGAUCACGCUUAUUCGUAGAAAGCCGAAUAUUGAUAGCCUGGCCGGGCAACUAACUAGCAUUAUAUGGACAGAAAGCAAUCGACCGGGAUCAUUCCAUACGAACUAAAGUAUGAACACGAUACCAUGGAAAUAUCCCUUUCUCAAAGAUAAAUGGACACAAAGUGAACUCUCAUUUAUCGCAUUGGAAAAGACGUUUCUUAUUUCUCUAACCUUUUCAGUGGAUUCUCUGUAUGAGAAAGAUAUAGUGUUGGUGUGAAAAGAAAUAUAGUUAUUCUGUUCCAUUGAAUAAUAACGUAACAAUUCCAUUCGUAAGAAUAAAGAGAAGCUGUGGAUCCAUUCUAUACCCAAUGAGUCCCAGCACAAUGGGAGUGUUCUACUUUCUUUCGGGGGUGGGCAUAUAGACUUUUGUGUUUCUUAUUCCAGCCGUAAGUUUCAAUUUGUCUUUAUUCAUUCUGUCUUAAAAGAAAAAGGGCGGAAGACGAUAAAGCCAUUGUGACCUUUCCAUAUUAAGGUGAAGUGUAUGGUACUAUAUUUCUCUCUGGAAUUGAAUGCCCAAUUUCGGAGUCCUCUGUAGAGGAAGAUGCAGUAUGGGUUUCUUACUAGUGCUAAUCUUCUGGGUCAUAUGGCGUUCUCUCCCUCGAUCGAGAUGUCCUCAGAAAAUGAUUCCAACAGUAGUAAUGAGUAUUGACAUAUAUAGAACAAAGUAGGUCGAUAAAGUAUUCAAACAUAAGAAAUACUAUGCAUUCGCCCUUAGAGAGCAUAAGAAUAAUAAGAGACUAUACCUCAGGACAUAAGAAUAAUCAGAUUAUGCAUUCGCAACCCUAUAUAGAAUUUCAGAAUAAGUUCUAAUAGCAUGGCAUCGCACUUUGAGUUCUAUGAACAAACCAUUAUUCUAAGAAAGUCAAUACGAACAAUCAAAUAAAGUCAUAUUGAAAUAUGAGUAUUGGACCUAACCCCCAGAUAGUAAGUCCUAGACUCGAUAGCUGCAUUCCGGAUCUCGUAUUUCAGUAUUGAACUCCCGGGGACGUACUUGACAACUACUCUACCCUGGUCCGCACCUUAACUCGGUAUUUCCUCCUAGACUCAAGACUUAUAAACUUAGUUCUCUUAUGACAAUUCUGUAUUUCACUUGGGAGUCUCCGUUUUGCCUUGAAGAGCUCACUACAAUGGCAUCUAAAUAAGAUUAGCUAUCCAACCAAAUAAGUGUUGCUAGAGUUCUUUUUUCACAAAUAUCUUAAUUGGAUUGGGAAAAUGGUAAGUGAUAUGAAGAAUUUCGCUUCCAAGUAAGAAUACCGGUAUAGACGCCUCAACCCCAACUAGGCUUGUCUUAUUGGUAGUGAUUUCACUCUUUUACUUACAUUACAAGUUGGAUUCAUUAACUAAUGGGCCCAACCCCUGCUCUACAGCUUAUCAGGUUUCUCUCAAAUCAAUAGGGUAGUCAAAACAGUGUGUUACGCAUCGCCAUAUUGAGACCGUUUUCACCGGAUUUCCAAAAGCAAAUAAGAAGAAGUUGACUAUACUCCAUAACAUAAUAAUAGGAUAAGGUUGGUCAACUGGCCAAGCGCCAAGGAACUCAAAUACAUAAAAAGUAAUAAGGUUGCGAAGCAAAUAACUUAUUUUGUUGUUGUUAUUACAAUUCCUGUGUUCGGCAGACAAGACGACACUAUUGAUACAAGCAAUCUAUUUGGGCGGUUUCGUUAUUGUACUUUUGGGUAAAAUUCCUACUGAUGCGUUUUAGCCUUAGCCCAACUCGGGUAUUCUUGAUUCCUUUAGGCCUCCUAUAACUGGUCUUGGUACUCCAUUCCUGUAUGCCCCUGUUCGGUUCUUGUUAGUAGUGAUAUCCGCCUUGUAAGUAGUAAGUAGUAGUCCGCUUGUCACUAGUGCGUUUCUCGUAAAGCAGUAGUUCACUCCCCAUCUGUACUAGUCAAAUUCCUUAUUCUUAACUAUAAGAGAAGGUAUGUUUGCCAGCAGCUCCAUUAUGAGGAGCACUAGAUUUCGUUUUCAAGCAAAGAAAAUAUGGGUAGGGUUCAAUCAAGGAUCCGUAUCAGUAGCUAGGGAAUUCCAGACAAGGAUAUAGGAUUUGAAGCGGGUGUUUGUUCCAUGACUCAACAGAAUACGAUGACUCAAUAGAAUACGAGAAAACACAGAUAAAUAAGAACAUAUUACUUAGUUUGGUUCUAUGGGCUACUAAACAUAUCCUGCAUAAUCCCCAUAUAGUACAACAAGUCUGUUUGCCACUAGCUCCAUCGUUCAAUGAUGAUAACUAUUGUCCCUUUGAACCCAAUCGUAGUCAAGAUCGAAGUUCCUAGAAUAAUAAUAUACUCCAAUUUCAUAUACUAUCUUGUUUGAGCACAUUAAUACAAGUUAAUGGAAUACCCAAUUUGAGAAUAUAGGUUAUACUCCCAACUGACCUUAACAAACUAUACUAUCAUACAGAAUUGAACAUAGGAGCCUAAGUCAUAACCUUUGAAUUUACCUACAGUUAACUGGGCUCUAUUAUUAGUCUAUCCUGCCUUGCUUCGAUUCUCCAUCUAAGUAGUAGUUCGUUCUCGUAGUUGUCCCUUGCGCCCUUGCUUGUUGGGUCGGGCCUCGAGUAUGACUUGCGCUGCUCUGUUAAUGUAGACACAUUGGUAUUCUUUGAACUUUUCUUGAUUUCUAUAUUGAUAUUGAUUAUACUGAUAUGUGUGUUUUCAUAUGAUAUUUGCUAUUACUAUGAGGCUUUAACACCUGGCCAGCAAUAUAGCAAACAAACUUAAACAACGGGCGAUUGUUCACUUCGACGACGCCAUGGCGAUCAGAUCAAACCAUAGGGACAGAGCGAAAAACAGCACGUGUCGCGUCAGUGCAGUGUCUCGGUAGGCUCAGUCAGAGCAAGAUCUGUGGCAUAACUCGAUCACAAGAAAAAACCCUUCCGUUUCCCUCAUAGCGCUAUCAGACUUAGAGAGAAGUUUCUCAUCACUCACCUGCCUUUCAGAGUGACCUUUUUCUUUUUCAUAGAAAUACCUUACAGCGAAAGGGACUAUGUAAGUGCCAAGAGAUAGAAUCAUAGUUUCAACCAUUAAUGACAAUGUUAUUAUCUUCCCGCUUUGUUUAUUCUCUAUUUGUUGCAGGGGGUCAAAGGAAUCUAGCUAAACCCGUUCAAUAGCAGUUUUCUUUAGUGGCUCCCCGCAUUCGCAUGGGCUAAUUACUUGGUGCUACAAAGAUUAGAAACAUAAGUCUCUUGGAUCCCAUCUAUCUACAGACCUUCUUAGCUAUCAAAGUAGAUUUCUAUAUGCCCGUUGAUUGAUCCAAGUCUUUAGUUACAACAGGAGAGCUUGUUUACAUAUCUUUCUUUUGACCAGCUGCUCAGGAAGCCACCAACCAACAAGAAAUCGUUUUUAGAACAAAGAGUCGAAUUCAGGCAAUAGGUUCCCCUGAGCCUUCGAUUCUUGCAAGUAGGAAAGCUUCUUAUGGGGUUGGGAAUGGGAAGGAAGAGACUGGAAUGCCCCUAGAAAGAAAGAAAAGCUCUGUGUAUUACUUUAGAAGCAAACAGAUAGCAUUUACGAGUCAGGGAUCCGUCUAGCAAAAGGUAAUGGAAUGGGCUUACAUUCAUUCGAUGAGGGCAAAAGAAUGAGAAGACAUCACAUAACAGAUCCUCUUAUAUUGAAAGCUAGGAAUUGAGCCGCUAAGCAACAAGAAAACGGUAGUUGUACUCUACCAGUGAGUGAAAUAAACUCGGCGGAACGGAACUAAGGUUUCACUCAGAUAGAGCCUAAAGUCAAGCAAACCCUAUAGCCCAGGGAUUCUUUGAAUGGCACCGACAUACCCUUUCUUUAAUGGAUUAGAGAUCAAAGUAUAGAUUGAAAACGCAAAGUGGAGAUUGAAAACAUAGUGAAGCUUGGACUGACCUUCAUGCAUUCUUUUUCUAUAUGAGAAUCUCGCAAAAAGAGACAAGUUAAGCCCUAAUACGUUUAGCUACUCAUUCAUUCGCAUUCGAUUAGGCAGAGAAGAAACCUUGAUGAAGAUUCGAAUUCUUAUAGUAGGAAAGCGAUCACACUUCUAUCUAGACUGCCCCUUUAAUCACUCACUCUAUUUAGUAUAGAUUUAUUUGAAACAUUCUCUCAUUGAUUAGCUAUCUCACGGCUGUCUGCUCUUCGUUUUUGGGUUGUAAAGGCAGCCGGCAUGAGAGAACAGCACCCCUUAUGGGUAAGCAGCAUCUUCGAACUUUCGUGACUAGGCAAAUUCUUAUUCCAGCCCAGCACUCGCAGCUUCACUUAAGGAGCAGCCUAAACAAAGGUGUGGGUCAGAUAGGGAGUUUGUUGAACAGCACGGCAUUCUGAUUUUGAUGAAACUAGCCUGUAGACAUCUGAACAUAGGCUAAUUGGGAUAUAAACCUAAGGGCCAAACUGAAUGGAACAGCCGAUUGAGAGGCAGAAGAUCAGAGGUCCCUUAACCUACACCUAUUAAGAAAGAAAGGGAUUUGGAAAGGGCCGCAGCUGCAUCAACGACGGGACUGAGACUUGGAAGGCAGGCUUAUUCCAGCAAGGGAAGUGGGGGCAGACGUUCAAGAAGUCGUGACAUGUGAUCUCACCUACCUUAUCCGAUCUGAUGUCUUCGAGGGCAUUGAGGAAAAGGCACAACACGCCAAUGAAAAGAGAAACUCGCUCAUAUAUAAGAGAUCAUUUGACUUUAAAGUAGUGCUUGAUUGAGGGAUUAACCCCGAAUCCUUACACUUUCCGGUACAAUGCCUACUCCCUUUUCCUCUUUCAAGUGGGUGGAACUCUUUAUAAGGCAAAAGAAAGGUUCAAGCAGAAAGAUCUCAUAUUGAACUUCAAAGAACGCUAGGAAAGAAAAGAAAAACGAAGUCAAUCCCAUAACGAACGGAGAUUUAUUGCAUUACGUCAUUCACGUCUAGCUCACCCAAUAACGCCCUACCCGCCAGAGAGGGAAAUGCCUUGACAGUGCCUAUUCUUUCUUCUGAAUAAUACCCUUAUACUUAAGUGGAGUUGGAGUUGAUGAAUUGGCCGUAGGUUUUCUCCAUCCAUCUGAACGGAACUAUCUUCCCUUCAAGCAAGGCUGACUUCAUUGAAUGCUUCCGCGAGGCUGACUUCGUUGAAUGCUUCAAAGCGUAGUUUCAUUGGCGCUUAAUAGCCAGUAGCUGAAUGGAAUGUGGGUAUACCCUGACCUCUAGGCUAACAGAAUAGCACUUGUGGAAUGACCUUAUUAUGCCCCUUUCUUUUAGUUCAAAAGGAUCUCUUCACUGACUCCCAUCUAUUUCAUCUUUCUCAUCGAAAAAUCAAUCGUACUUACUUACUGACAGACUUUCAUUAAUUGUUUACUGCCUACUGAGCUUACUGAAUGCUUUUCCUGCCCUUUGACCAGAAGACGGAAAGAAAAUAAGGUAGGUUCUUCCACAUAUAUCCAUUUAGAGAAAAACGAAAAGGGGAUGGGGAAACGGAGGGGACUUUCUUUCACGCACGAUAGGCCAGGCGUUGAACCGUUACUGCCGCCAAACCAAGAACGGAAAGAGACUCCUAUAGAUCGAAUACCAGACUGCCCACUACACUCCCGAAGACAAGACUUGCAACUGAAAAAAGAACUUCUUCUUCUCGGCUUUCCACUUAAUGUAAACCACCCGACCUCUACUUCACUUGCAGACUUAUGGACAGAAGAAAUAGGACUUGUUGCGACGAGGAAAACAUGAAAGAAAACUGGAAUUGUAAUAACUUAUUGGGGUGUUCGAGAGCAGAGCCAGAGAGAUAAUGUAAAAGCCGGCCCUUCCCUUAAGCGCUCCAUGUAGUGGGCAUGAGAAAAAAGAUGAUCUUCACGAUGAAAGUCAAAAGCACCCAAAGAAACGAAUAAUAUUAUUUCAAAGGAGCUACAGCACCAAACUGUUAUUUUGUUAUGAAUUAGAGCACCAAACUGUUAUUUUGUUAUGAAUUAGUCCUGGCAACUACUAGACAAGUAUAGAAACUAAAACAACAACUUCUAUAUUUACUACUUGCUUAACACAAGCCACUAAACCCUAGUAAUAUCAAUCCCCAAAAUGAACCGACCUGACCUCCUUUCUUUAGUUUUGCUUGUUGAGUUCCUGUCUUCCGCUUACGUAAGAGUUAUUGGAAUUCCUGUCUUAGUCGGCGCCAGUGAGUGACUCAAGCGAAAGCGCAUAGAACAAAAGGUCAUAUCCGGGUAAGAAAAAGAUUCCACAAUUCCUGUAUGAACGGAAUGUAUACCAGGUAAGAAAAAGAUUCCACAAUUCCUGUAUGAACGGAAUGUAUACCAGAGAAUUAAGCAGGAGCUGGAAAGUCUCAAGGUGUUACCCACGAAAGAGAGAGAAUCCGCGGCUGCGGUUCAAUAGUCAGCAGCAAGUUGUUCUUCACUGAAAGUAUAGGUGAGGUCGGCAAUCAAGUCUUCCAAUUCCAGUAUCGUUCUAGUUGUUGGCUACGAGUAAGGUCAGAGGUAAGCUGUCAAUUAAGUUGAGGUAACAGCGCUAAAGUCAGUGAUAAGGCUAAGUGAUUCAGUAUCCAAGUCGUCAACCGCUUGUCCCGGGUACAGUAUCAGAUCCUACAUCUUUGCUUGGAGAAUUCCAUUCUAAUGCAUUCGAAUCGACAACACCAAGAUAUCACACUGAUUCUUAACCUUAGGAUUCUCUUUCUUCUGCUUCAGUACAACGUGCUUCAAACAUAAACCCAACAUCCAGGUAAACUGAUUGCAUUGCCAACACCUCGAUACUCUUCUGCUACACUGCGUAGUGGGCAUUAUCAAAGGUCAAUUCUGUCUUCAGACUCAACGAGGAAGGUAUGGGUUCGGUACGACUUAAUCAUAUUUCAAGGGCAAGUUCCGUUGAUAGAGGUGGUGAUUGGCUUUUCCUUUAGGUGGGCGACCGGAAGUUUUUAACUAAACACAAGUCUACGAUAUCAUCUGCUGGAUCUAUUCUAGGAAAAUACUCCCUUUAGCACUUGUUCUUGUUGUUCCGUUGUUUGUUGUUUCGGGGUCACUAUAUCUAGCUUACUUUUAGCCUAACCUUUAUGUGGCGAUUCGAGAUCUUCUUCUUAAUAUGAUUCAACGAAGGCAAGAGAACGAGCUCUACUUAGAAGGGGAUAUAAAGCGGGGAAGAAUCCAAGAGUGACUGAGGACUGUUACACUGAAGAUACCCCUUUCCCUUGGAAUAGAUAGAUAAAGACCCAAUUCGAAUUCUCAUGUUGGUGCAGGAGAUGUAGCGUAAAGUACAUGAGAUUGAGAUGUUGUAGCCGAGGAUACAUGAGAUUAACAAUCAGUAAGUAUAGUAGGGCUCCGUUAGCUGGCUGUGGUAUAGAAACCCAGUAAAGAAACAAACCACUUCCCUUUCUUUUCAAUCGGACCUCUGACUUUAUCCUUCGCAUUCAAUUAACGAUUCCACUCGAACAUCAAUUUAUGAACGGUCGCCAACAAACAUGGAUUGAAGUUUCACUCCACUUUAUGAUUGAAGUUUCACUCCACUUUAUGAACCGAAAUAUGAAGUUCUAACUGAUUCACUUUGCGCAACAGCCUUUGAGCAGCGAGCGGGACUAUAAGCCCUUUUUGCUCACUUUUACCUAUAGGGUAAACUCCUCUUUUGUGGGAAUCAUUUCAACUCGGAAACAGUCCCUCUGGUGCAUCUUAGCCUAGCAUCUUACCUGUUUCAAAGCUCGAUAAGCAAAGGUUUCAAGUCCAGCCCUUGAUUAACUCGCAUUAGCCGAGAAAACAGGACUGUAUGAAGUGAAGUCAACAAAUACUAAUCUCUCUGCAGAACGAGCAUAUGGGGGUCUUGUAUAGAUUUCUUCAAAUACACUACUUAAGCUAUUCCUGGCAACUACUAUACUCCAGACAAGCAACUACGGAGUGGAAGGUAUAAAACAGAGGUGGGAAUAACUCACUUUAGCUAUGAAUUAGGACUCGCUCAUAACUCAUUAUAACAUAGGAAUUGAGCUCCUGCCGCUUUUAACUCGAACAUCACCUUUCUACCAUAGAAACUUUAACCUAUGAUUCUAUAAACGAUUCUUGAGUUGAUUCAGCUUAAGGCGGAUUUCUCGUUGUUUAACCUAUGUUCAAGGUUUCAAAUGCAUUUGUCACAGGAGGGCGUGAAGACUCAUUUCCACUCGAAACCCGUCCCUAGAAUUCAUUUAAGCCUAACAUCUCGAUGGUUCCUUGCCUUAGCGCAACUAAUUCAUUCAUUUCUUCACUAAUACGUUCUGACUAAUAGAAUAUGGUCUUACUAAUACGCAUCUCACUCAUAUUCAUUGGGCAGUCAAACUAAUCAUCAUCUAUUGUUCUUUCGAGCCCUAAAACUAAUCAUCAUCUAUUGUUCUUUCGAGCCCUAGUAUAUAUAUAUGUUAGUAAUAUUCUACCUUACUCCACUUUUCUUGUUCUUUCGAGCCUAAGUCACUAUCAUGGAACUUCCUUUCGGGUACCUCAAUGGGUGAAGCGCGAUUAGCGUGAUUCAACAUAAGCUUCGGUUCGGGGUAAGAAAUGACAACGAUGCCGAGAAGAGUCUGGCCUAUCUCCUAGGUAACUCUUCAGGGCUCAGAUCAAACAGGAUUCUCUUUCGUAUAGGCCCUUUUUUAAGGAGAAGGAAGGCUCGGGCCACACAGGCCGGAAAGUGCCUUGCAAAGGAAGGCAAAUCAAAGAGUCAAGAUCCUCGAGAAAGGCCAGUGUUCAGAGUGUUGUCAUGUCAUAAUCAUUCCAAUGCUCCUUUUCGCCACUCUUGCUUUUCCCUUCAUAAGGCGCGUUCAUCAGUCGCUUCACUAUUCCCCGACCCGAACUCUAUUAACUUGCGAGCACAUUGCAACUCACUCUACGAGAAGCUAGCCACCUUUCAUCCCGAUAAAGAAAAGAUUCUUUGAUGAAAGCUCCGAAUAGAAAUGCAAAAGAGAAAAGAUAAGCCUAUGAUCCCUAAUUGAGGAAGGGUGCUAUAAAAGCGGAUCAGAAGCAAGCUCAUCGGGGCUCGAGCAAGAAGAAAAGGGGCCUCCGCCUGGGAGAGACGAAAGUAGGCCAUAGUUAUCUGCCACAUAAGAGGUUAAAGCUAAAGGAGUUUCCGUAAGUGUAAUAUCUUUAUAUGAGAGUUGAUGCUCUCUCUUCCAAAGACAAGAGGUAUAAUUCUGUGCUUCCUUUCACUCUAUUUUAUUCAAGCCAGGCAAAGCUUCUUCUCUCGGAGACAACACUCAAACUGGGAGGGCAUUCUAUUUCUUCUGAUCCCACAUAGGAUCUGAAAACGUAUGAUGACCUCUAUUACUCGACUUCAACAUGAUAAACCCCCUCAACGGAGACCUUUGCUGGAACGCUAUCUUUCUAGGCUCAACAUAUUAUGAUCCUUAAACUUCUACUACACUUGAUGAUUCUUCACCGACAGAUGAAACUAGAACAGACAAUUCUCCACUUAGAGCUUCAAAGCCAGUACCCGAUCCAUCUUAUGCUUGAGACUAUUCCUCUAUCAGAGACGGAGAUGAACGUAAGCCAACUCACUCCUAUCUAGCAGACAACACUCGAACUGGGAUUCAACCUAGAAUUCACUCUACUUCCGGACAAUCUGUUUAGGACAGUUUCUCCAAUAUCCUUUACUACAAGCAAGCCCCGAACCAACAUCUCCUCUGGCUCACUUGCAUUCUUAUAUUGACUGGUCUUAUUCUGAUCUUAGUAGCUAUAGUAUUGGAAGCAAUGUAGCUAUAGCCUUCCACUCACUGGUUGCAUUCUGUUACUACUUAGGUGGAUUCUAACUUGCUUCAUUCCCCAACUCCCAAGCUGCAGCCUUGGUAGCUGUGGGUUCAUCCUAUCCCUUCACUCAUCUCAUUUCGGUCAGCACUGCUUUGAGUCUGAAGUAGGGGUGGAGUUAAGCCUGGUUGUUAGUGCUUGAAGCCUUACUGCCGCUAUAGGGGGUUCAGUCUGAUUGGAUCGAGUUGCAUUCUUUGACUGCUCAGGGACAUCCUGUAAUUCCGUAUUCCUAGCCUGGUCCGUAUUCCUAGCCUGGGGAGUUUCAUUCUGAGUGACACUAGCUACAUUCUAUCCCACUAGCGGGCGUAGUUCAUUCUGUGAUUUACUUGUUUGAUCUGUAAUCCUUAAUAAGAAGAGAGAGAAUUUAUAUCACUUUUCCCUUAGCUAUUUUACUGAAAGCCUUACGAUGGACUCUCGAAGGGAGGGUGGGCGAAGAAGGCUCAAUUGCUGGGCUCUCGAGACAGUUUCCCCGUACCAAAAAUGCCAAGGCCAUGACAAAAAGCAGCAGAAGAAUUCAAAGCAAGCGCGAAAGAGGACAUCUCCAAAAGGCCUCGCGUUGAGGCGGCUUCCUUCUAAAUGAAAUAAGUUCGAAUUAUAAGAAAGUAACGUUUCGGGCUAGCAUAUGCUUACGCCUUUUCGUUGUCGUUCUGUAAGCCAUAAUCUAAUCUUCCGGAAGUUAGGGGCAUGUGGCUGCGCAAAAGAGGAUUCUCAAACGACUAAGGUAAGUCAGAUCCCAUCCUAAAGAUUAGAUGAAGAUGUCACGAUCAAUCCCUAUAAAAUCCCUAAGGAAGCUUCCACUCCCGGGUAGUAGCUGCUAUAAGAGAAGCUCUUUGGUCUGGGUCUUCGGGGUCUACUAUUCCUUUCCUCUAAUGACUAAAUGUCAAACUUACCGAAAUGGGGCUCUUUAAAUAAAUAAAGGCUUUAUUAACAGGAAACUUUGGAGAGGGUAAGUCCAUUUCCCAUCCCACUACUAACCCAAGCUCCGGAGUUCUGGUGCUCAAGAAAGAAUAAGAAAAGAGAAUUGCUGUUAUCCCACGGCUGCCUGUGUUCAGUGGAGGAAGGAAGCCAUACAUGGAGGUGCCCUCAGGAAGUUGUCCAAAGAGAGGCCUUCGAUAAGCCUUUUGCUCAAGCUUCUACUUUCACUUGAUAAAGGAAAUAGGCAUUUAGGACAAAUUGACCAAGGAAAUAAGAAAAUGGCACAUUUCGAUGUUACUUAUGACCUGAGAAUAAGAUCUCCCUUAGGUUCUUUGACAGAGCGGAAAGAAAGUUGAAACACGCGCUUAUGCAAGGGAUGAAGAAUAGGUUCAAAAUGCCACAGAAUGUCUUAUAUGAAUAGGAAUCGGUUGAUCAAAGCUCAUUUUUGAUACAUAAACACUUGGCGCUCUGAAUAUCUUUCCUCAAUGACAGGAGGAGCUUUUCCCCUUUAAGACAACUGGAGUCUUAGGGGAUCAGACGGAUGAACCGAUCGGCAAAUAGUCUUCUCGCAAUAAGGGCUCUCCCUCCACUUUACACUUCAAUCUUGUCCUUUAUCUAUCAAACCCACGAGAAACCGGAGUGGGCAAUCUAUAAUGACAUAUGUAAACCCAUCUAUCCUAGCAAUCUAUAAUGACAUAUGUCACAACCUAUCUAUCCUAGAGACUUCGGUUUGAAACAUGAGCCUUUUUAGAUCCUUUCCAGUUAAAGGUCAGUCAGGUCUUUUAGAUUUCUUUCUAUUUCACUUAUUUGUACCUUUUCUUUCCAGAGGAAAACCCUCUUUCACUUCAGAAUUCUGCAUUUCAAAAAGAGGUCUCUCCCUCUCGGGAAAGGUGUGCCAGGAGCUUAUACAAGGUGUGUUCUGUUCUAUGUUACCUAUUACUAACACACUUUUACACUACUUGUCUUGUCUCUCAUCUCAUAGUCGGAAUAGUGAUGAUCGAUCUUCUUCGGUUCCUUUCCUUAGACUAUAUCUUUUGGUUUGAAUUCUUUCAUUACUCCCCAACUACUUAGAAAUGAGAUAUUGAUGUAUUUAAAAGAUACGCAUUUCAGCCAACAGUAGUGACACUCUUCUACUUCCGGGCUCAAGUUUUAAACAACACGAGUUAGAGGAGCUCCUAAUGAACUCAACGUUUACAAGCACUCUUUCUAUCCAAAGGUAAUGAAAGAAAUCUGCUCUAUCUUCUUUUCGAUCUUGUACUAAGGUGAACAAUAACCCAAUCCGCUCAAAAGUGGGGUUGCAAGUAAGAUCAAGAAAGUUUACUACGAAUGAGAGAACGAAAGCUAGUCGGAACGGAAGGAUAGUAUAGGAGAUGUGGCUUUUGUUGGGGAGCCUCUAUCUUAGACGCGGUAGUGCAUGAGAAGUGGAUCCAUCCAGUUCAGGCGGAUAGCCAGUUGUAUCGGGUAGAACCUCUCAAACCUACGAUAUUAUCAAACGGGAGAUCGGGAUCAUCAAAUAGUACGAGCAAGAUGUGGUCCAAAGAACGGAGCCUACCUCGUCGAAGCAGGACCCAUUGAGACUAAACGGAGACCAAACAAACAAAGAGAGACAUGGAAGAAUGCAAUGCAGCCUAGAUUAAGGGGAGGAACUAGCGCCCCCGAGUAUAGAGUGGCUAUUCGAUGAAAUGACUUUCGAGAAUUUCCAGCUUUAUACCGUCUGAUCUUAUCUUAAUUGAAUUGAGGAAGAUACAAAGUCAUUCAAGUUCUUCUAUUAAUAAGACAUUUCAUAACUCACUUGCUAAGUCAGAUACCAAGCCAAGGAGAGGUGCUCUCUCGCCUCAUUGUUUUCCGUGAGAUUUCAAAAGCAGUCUAGUCUUUUGGAUGCGAAAAGUUUCAUGUAUAGAUAGAUGAGUAGUUCGUCUUCAAGUUACUAAUAUGGACCCUGGGAGCCAAACACUUUAGCAAUGUGCAGAUUCUCCGAUACUAGUGAUUUUCAGAGAAUAGAGUAUGUGUUUCCUGCGGUUCACUCACGUAGGUCAGUUUCUUGUUCGAAUUGCAUGCGUAGGUCAGUUUCUUGUUCGAAUUGCAUGCAGGCGAUUUCUCCCAUUUUCUCUUUCCUCUUUCUCUUUACUGGUGGCCCAUAUUCUCUUUCCUCUUUCUCUUUACUGGAAAUAAGGCCUUUCCCUAUCACGACCGCCUUCCUUUCUUCGGAAUUCAUUCUUUUCCAAAGAGCUAGAGGGUGAUGAGUUACCUAGAUAUACAUGACUUUUGAUUUCUCAUUCCAUUCCAAUUCUCUCUGACAGAGCAGGAUAGCUGCCAUCAAGCUGCCCCUUUAGAGCGAGGGCCUUCCGAGACCACAAGAAGAAGGAUCAAUCGCCUUUUUGCGAGGAUCUAACUCUAUCUUUCUGGCUUAGCCUAACUACUUUGCUCGGGUCAAUUCACUCCUUCUUUAUCGCAAGCAAAUAGCCAAAGAGCUGAUGAAAGGUCUUAUCUUAUUCCUUCAUCUGCGGAGCAGUUAUUACAAAAAGACUCGCAUCUCACACAGGAAAAGCAAGCAAAGACCUCCCCUUGGUUUCCUCCUUCCUUGAUAAGAGUGAAAGCCCAAUCUUAAUAAUACUCUCGGACGUGGGAUCUUGCCUAACCCAAUUGGGUUGAGCGGGGUCAGUCUGACUUUUCCACUGGCUUUCUAUUUCACUCACUAAAUAAUAGGUCAGUCCUUACUUGAUAUAACUAGGGCAUAUACUUAAGGAAGCGAGCAACUUAUAUAAGCAUGCACUAUCGGAUCUGCCCCUUCCUUUCUCUUUUAACCGAUCAACUUGAACUUGAGCGGGAACAGGUAAGGGUGUAAUACAACUCUCCUCACUCUGACUUUUCUAUCUCGUGUGCAAGAUAUAGUGUAUGACCUGCAACUGGGUACACAAGGACUGUAUUUCGAGCAGGCUUUCAUGGCGUACUGACUUACCUUGAAAAGACGGGCCACUUUAAAGGAGACUAGUUCACUCACUGGUUAUAUCCAAAUCUCUUUCUUAACGGGGCAGCCUUCUCCACUUGUGACUUUAACAGCGGGGCAGCCUUCUCCACUUGUGACUUUAACAGCUCUCCUUUCCUUUAAAAACGAACUAGCAGCUAAGUAGACUCAUUUAUAACGCAGGAACUGCCUGCAGGAAACUGGCUUAUCACAUUCGGCUCGGGCUUACUAUCGGGCUUUCACGUUAACUGUCACUUGCCCUAACACAACUACAGGCUUACAACUUUGACUGGUAAAAGCGGACUAUAGCACAAGAACUGGCAACAAUAACAUAACUCCUCUCUAUGAGUCCCCACCCCACUCUCACCUAUCUAAAUAAAGAGCGCACUUCCAAUUCCAGACUAAGAUGUAGCUGCCUUAAUUGGAAUUCUACUUGGAUUUCUUUACAGUAAAGUCAGACCAUAAAGGCUAGAAAACUUCCUUGAAAGGGCAGGUCCCCCUUUCUUGCUACUUUAUAUGGAAUCUCGGGGCCAAAUCCCGAUACGAGAAAACUAGGCCUACUUUAAAUGGCACUGAUACAGGCGCUUCUUCUGCUAUAUUUCUCCUUAUAUCAAAAGAAAGGUUCCACCUUUAUUCUAGCUUAGCGUCCUAGGUUGGGCGAGGCAUAAGCCUUUAAGCAGCAGCUCCUCAAAUCCCCUUUCCAACUAGGGGGAGGGGGGACUCUUGCUCCUGUCACGGAUACUUGCUUUAUCACAGGAUUCAAUCUGUCCGGACUUUAUUUGAUGAUCCGCCCUUUCCAUGGGGCACAAGCCUUAGGGACAUAGGAACUUGCUGGCUAUGGAAUUGAUCCUCACUUUCUUUAUUAACGGGAACUGACUUUACUUGCUAGGGAGUGAUAGGGCAGAGGAUCCAGCAUCCCCACCAGAAUUAGAAGGGCGCUCCAAUUCGAAGCGUGCGCUACUAAGGAAGGCCCCUUCCCAUAUCGGGGAUAGUCAACAAUAGUGUGAGUUUUGGAAUGAAUCGAUAUCAUAGUCAAUUUCAGGUACUAUAACAGAUAGAGCUUUUUCUGCGGCAUAUUGAGAGCCAUAUAGUCUCCCGCCAAUCAGAAACCCCUGACAUUAUAAGGUAGGCCCAGCCCCGGGUUUAUAACAGCGAAUCGAAUCAAAGCGUUCUCCAAUAAGGAAAUCAUUAGAUGUAGCCUCAAACAUAUAUGACCUCAGUCUCUGGUCUCGAUUGUGGGUGGGCAAAUGGAUGCUACUAUGCUACUCUUUCUUCAAUUGCUUCAGCUUGAGAACUAAGACUAAGACUGGCAUAAAUCAAAUAGAAGACAAGACGCUUGGCUGUAAACUGACUCAUUCUAUAUACACGUAACGUACACGUAAGGAUAGACGUAUCCUAAAGCUCGUUAAUCAUACCCAACUUAUGGCUGGAACAGAGAAAGAGCUACGAUUUCAAUGACAACUUGCCCGUUAAUCAUACCCAACUUAUGGCUGGAACAGAGAAAGAGCCACUUUGGAUUUCAAUGACACUUGCCCGGACACUGAUGCUGCGCAAGAAUAUAAAGAAGAAUAGUUUGGUUUGCCUUUGCCCGCUACUGGUUUGCUCUAUCAUCCUGGAAAAAUCUCCUGACUUUAUUANNNNNNNNNNNNNNNNNNNNUAAGGUAAGUCAGCUUCCUUUUGAAGGUUCGGGAAUAGCCUAAUUCAAAGCGUUUUUCUUUGUCGAGAUUCGGUUUGUAUUAAGUGAGUGACAGAGAGUCGGAUGAAAGUUCUCCCUAGUCAGUAGCCCUUUAUUCCACUGUUGUAGGAAGUGUCCAGUCUUUAUAAGUAGGAUCAAAUCAAGACGAUGAGAUAAAGUGAUGCUACCUUAGAUUGAGAUCCCUAGUAGAGUCAACUAACUAACUUUCUCUCUAUCAUCGAUGGAUUAAGGAGCAUUGCAUUCGACGUAAGAUGUAUGGUUUGAAGUUCAGGGAUGGAAUGGAUUUCCUCGCUAGGAAGACGGCAGAAUAUGUUAUUGAAGGCUAAUACAAGUGUCGGGCCAAGCAACGACUAGACAAGAAGAAAGGAGCCCAGUUCCCCAGGUAUGAGUCUACAGCUCCUCGGUUUUAGCUUGGCAUUCCUAUCUUUUAUUAGUAUUACUCCACUGGCUAUCGUGCUUAUUCUUACCUGGCAUUCUGACUACAGUGGGGCCCGUUCUAGCCCUGACUAUCCCACCUUGCUUUCUUUAUUUAACCUAUUUGUCUGAAAGCCAGAAUCAAAUCCACAACAAUCAGACUUAUAGUAUAGUAUAGUAGGGACAAGAAUCCAAGUAAUUAGUCAAAGAAAAAGGGGGAUUUCAGAAGGAGACAAAGACUUAGUUAUAGAAUGAGGAACAGGAAGUAAGGGCAGCAAAGCAGCUGGCGGUGUUUAAAGAAAGAAUAGAAGUCAGGGCAAGCUCUAACUCCCCGGCAUGAAUUCAAUUAGGUAGUUCCCGUUUGAGAGUGAAGCAGACUGAAGGUAAGUAUCGGAUGCAGUAGAUACAGAUGUGUUGUUGUAGCAAGCCAUGUUAGCGCUAGUAGCAGUCCAGCCCAUAAGGUUUAGUUUGAUUCUCUCCGAUCUGAGACCUAUUCUUUGACUUCUUAGUUGUAUUCCAGCCUGCAGGGUCAUUCUUAUUUGCAUUGGUAGCAAUCUUUCCAUUAGUGUUAUGGCUUCUAUUCUAUAUGCGCAUAGAUAUCGUACUUACUCUUAUGUCCUUACUUGAGAGUUGGAUUCCCACAUUUCCAUUAGUACUAAAUUCCAAUAGAACAGCGACGUUCUUAGAACCAGUGGAUCCAUUCUGGGUUUCGAGUGAGAGUCUGAUAUAUCGCUUAGUUCAAUAAUGCCGGGGACAACUACAAGAGUCAAGGAGAUGAGUACAAGAUUUCUAGUUAGUGCUUGAAGACCUAUAGGCAGAAAAAGGGGGUUAAAAGACAGGUUGAAAGCAAAGGUACUGAGAAAUCAAAGAGGGGAGGGCAGUCUCAUAGGUGACACAAAGGAUUUAGAUAAGGCUAAGAAGACAGGCAAGUAAUACUUGGAUGGAGGAGCGUGGUAAUGAGAUAAAGCAGUAGCAUACUUCAAAAGGGGAGCAGAAGAGCUGGAAAGUAAGCUUUGAGGUGAGGACCAACAAGAAUGAUGUUUCCUAUUAAUAAUAAGAGAAUCCCCAGGUUACCAUGAAUAGUAGUAAAGAGUUGCGGUAAGGAUAGUCAACCCAAUAGUCAGUAAAGCAAGGGUGUUUUCACAGUAGGGCAAGGACCCGGAUCAGUAGUUCGCUCCCUAGUUAUUAUUUCCGUUAUUGGAGAUGGUAGCUAAAAGUUCCUUAUUCCCUAUUUGAUUCCUUUUAUCGCUAGUUUGAUUCCACUUCGAAGACAUCGGCUGUAUCCUAAACUACAGAAUGAACCAAGUGAGUACAGGACGAAAACUCUCACAAGAACAGAAACAAGCAAAUAAGCCUUUCACUCCUCUGUCAACUACGACUGUUAUGGCUAUGACCUCUGGCUACUGUUAAAAGAAUGAGGCUAACCUAACUCUUUCUCCUCUCCUAUAUUCCUAAACUCUUUCUCCUCUCCUAUAUUCCUAUAUAACAACUCUGGCUCAUACACCUCUGUCACCUAAUUCCAUUCUUCAGUAGGAGCAGAGACAGUAGAGUGAAAUGAAUAGUGAAUUUCUUCCUAACAUCUUUCUGGGCUAAGAAAGCACUUUACAAGCUUGAACAAUAGGCGGCAAGUUUCUUUACCCUUGAUGACCGACGGAGAGCUUAUCUCGUGGAAAAGGAAUUCAGAAUUUCUAAUAAUAGGUGUAACUCGGCUGAAACCUACUAUCAGGGAGAAUAAAGGUAGGGGCAUAAGGCGGUAAGUCAACUCUAUUCUUAUACUUAACGGGUGAACCAACAAGACUUAGUGGCGCUUAACUGGACAGGAAAGGGAGUUGCCUUACUUAUAUUACGUCUAUUUCUAUUCCAAAAGUAAUUAGGACUACCGCUACACUUACUACGUUACUUGGUGGGUGCGAGUGUUGUCUCGGUGAUUAGCUUUACUAAGUGGGGAGAGGAUAGAGGUAUAGUUCGAGGAAAGGAAACUAUACUAAAGAAUUAGCUGUGCUUGGAAACUAUGGGUUCGGUGAAUGUGUCGCCAGGGUUAUUACGCGCCCAGCCCUUUCCUUUCCCUUUGCAUGCUUGGCCCCUACUAUAUUAUAUCUGUGAUUAUUGAUUAUUAUAAGAUGGAAUUUACAAGUCCUGUAUUCGCCAACUCAUGGUGUAGAAUUCCAGAAUUGCACUCAGUAGUAGUUGUCUUAUAAUCACCUACUCUAACUAAGAGGUCCAUCUUUAUAGGCGUCAAUGCACUAUAACAUCUUUUCGGGUCAUAAAUAGGGUCUUUUGUUCUAUUUUGUUCAAUUGCGGUUUACCAUAGAUGAAAAUGCGAGAAAGAGGCCUGAUUGCUUGCUUACCUUCGACUUAGAGAAUUGCCCACCAACAUCAUGCACACAACACUGAAUACCAGUUUCUUUGGCUUGCACCUGUAGCUCGCAGGUUGGAGUUCUGAGUUAGCCCCAUAUCUCUUGAGCCUGAAAGCAAUGCAGUGUCUUUUGACUCUCUUAUACUCUCUGACAUUGGUUGUGCACUCACACCUUCCUCUUCUCUUCUUCACCGCGACUACUAUUAUUCUUAUACCGAUGUGAAUUGUAGAACUAUAGAUUAGAUUAUUCUUCUGCUUGUUCAAUGGGCACUGCAUCUUCUGUUGGGCCUUAGACUUAUUUAAAAGAACGAUACUUCCAACUUACACCAAAGCUAGUUAUCCUUCUACUCAUAUUGAUUCUGACCUCAAUCUUAGGGUCUUGCUUCCCACCUUGCUUCUUGAAUAGAAGAUAGAAGAACUCCUGCCGCUCUUUAGCUCGCUGACGCUCUUUUAACUCGCUACCGCGCAACAUUAGUAGUUGCUUGGUCGAACACAUAACUAGUAAUAACUGUUUAUAACUCCCUAUUGUUGUUACUGCCGCCGAACACAUCUACGAAGACAGAACUUGGCUAUAGCUCCUGCCGUACAACGUCUUUCGCCGUUGCUUGGCCGUUAUAACUGGUUAUUUGCUGCCGCGUCACAUUAGCAGCUCAAUAACUCCUGCCGCGCAACGUUAGUAGUUGCUUGGCGGCCGGCUCACCGUUGCUUGGCGUCUAGUAGUGUCUUGGCCCCUCAUGCUACCUUCAUAUAGAAGAAUAGUAGAAACACCUCAGCAUACUAAACUCCCUUUAAAGAUACACCUUACGGGCUACUAAACCAGGCUACUCAACCAACUUUACUUGAUACCUUACUUGACUUUCUAUUUUAUAAGAGUGAGCUUAAUUUAAUGGACUUGGAACUUUUGACUGCUGGAGCAACCAUGAAAAAGAAGCCUGGGCCAGUGUUAUCAUUACUAUACAGCACUAUCCCAAAUAUCAAAUGCAAAUGAUUGAGACACCAACCAAAUCUAAUGGAAUUGAAUCAUCUUACCAGAAAUAUAGACUAUUCUUAUACUAUAAUAUUACUAGAAAUAUAUUAGACUAUUCUUAUACUAUUCCACUAUCUUAUCUUCUUCUUGCUCGACCUGGAAUGGAACUCCUACACAAGGAGCGAACUCAACUGGACGCCCAUACUUAACGCUUCAAAUGAAUUUCCUCUUUCUUGCUAUGAAGCAUAAGCACUAACAACACUAACAACAAUAACAGAACUCCACUUUACCGGACCACACCUCGACUCAAAGCCGGAUCUUGCUGACUUACUUUCGCCUAAAACUUUACUUACAGCUUACUCCCUUCUUUUGCUUCACCCUUAGCCUGCCUUACCUGAACCUUAAUGUUUGGACCACUCUUAAAGCUACCUAUCCUUUUCUUUGGUUACUUACUUCUAUGUGUGUGUUAGUCUGAGUUUGCAUUCCACAAGCCUAAGUGCGUUAGCCAGCUCCCUAGAGUCAGCAGUAAGGCAGUGUUCCAGAAGCGAGGGAAAUCAUUCUUUACAGGAAUUUCGGUGAACAAGCAAAUCAACAAGAGCAGGUGCAAGCAGAAAGGCAAGUGUAGUUAUUGUUUCAUCCCGAGAUCUGUCUUUGCCGUCUUUGUUCGUGACGAGCGGUUCAGAAAGGAGAGUUUGCCGGGGAUACAAGGAUGCUAACGCUUAAGGGGUGAGUUCGCUUAUUGGAGUUGAGAGUCAAGAGUUUGCAGUAAGGUGACAGCGGAGUCAGCAGUCCAGUUAAUCUCUUAUAGAUAUGUUGUAGUCAAUUUACAGAUUCAACAGCUCCUUAACCACUUUUGAAACAGAUUCCACUCUUUCUUUCUGAUAAGGUAAAUAAUGAAACUUCAAGCUGCUGUUUCUUAUCGAGCGCAUCUUCUUGUCAAACAUGAAUUUCUUACUGAUGUGUGCUAAUAGGAAUUGCAUCAUUUCAUCUCUCUCACCCGCCUAUUAAGUAGGAAUGUCAUAUCAAGCUGCUCAUGUUAGCACACUUAUUCGUCUUGCCCGACCUCGACUUGAAGUGAAGCUAAACUGCUCCUCGACUGGUGAAGCAGGAUUACUCUACUGGUUAGGGAUUCAACUAACCUAGCUACUUUCCUAGACUUAACUCACACAACAACUGAUUCUUGGGCUUCUUCUCCUAGAACUGUAACAGUAACUUGCCCUGACUCAUUUAAUUCAUAACUAAAUAACUGUUUUGUGCUGUAGCUGCUAGUAUACGAGUGUAGUAUGGCCCUACGCGGCACCGCUAAUAGCUCUACAAAUACACUCUCUACAAAGAAUACAACUCAAGGUGCUGAAAGCCUCCCUAUAGAUUGCACUCUUUAUGGCUCCUCUUUUUAUAGGCACUAAAUGCAUUAUUUCUUCUCUUUAGAUGUUUUUCAUGUCAUUUCCCAUUAAACUACAUAAGUUAUGUUAGAGUGAAUUGACGCCUAUAAGAUUGACCCUAUUGCAACUUAAUAUAGGGCACUCCGGACUCUGGAACUUCCACUAGUCAGUAAACUCAUUCUUCUUUCUUAACGGAAAGUCGAGUGUCUAACUCAGGUGCCUCCGCUCCUAUAACUUCAUUCAGAUUGGACCCUACUAAAUCAAGGGCUUCUCUCACCCAAGAUCAGAAGACGGAAUAGAAGCAACAGAGGGAGAAACACUACUAUCAACUCGCUAACCGCCGAAGACAUCUACUUUACCACAACUCUGGAUUAGGUCUACUCUAUUAAUAUAUCAUUAGAAAGUGCAAACAGUUGUCUCCAAGAAUCAAGAGCAGGGGGCAACUACUAUAGGGGAGAGAUGAGUUCAACUAAUAAGGGUUAAUCUAUUCAAUACUUAUACCGGAAAGGGUUAAUCCAUUCGUGAUUCAAACUAUGCUGCUAUGGAUGGUUACCAAGAUCUAUUAUAUAAAUAGCAAAUUCUUCUUUUUCUUACCUAAGUCCAGUGCCCGUGCCCUUAAUUACUGGAGAGUUGUUUCCGAAAUACCCCACUGCUGAUGAUCUUAGUUCCAGAAGAAGCUUUUGACUUUUAUGAGAUUCUUUCUUCAUAUGAUAUUCUUUCUUCAUUAAGUAGAGGCCUAGUAUAGAUCAGAGCCGAACAAAUAACUAUUUUCAGUUCACUCGCCAAUCCAGUACAAAACAAGAACUACCUCUCGACUGCUUCCAAAGCAACAUUAGCAACACAGGAUUUCUAUCUUCUAUAAGUGAUGCAACUCGGGCAAGAGCCAGGCAAGAAAGAAAGUCCUUAUUUCACUCCGCGCUUCCAAUGUUACUGUUCUAAACUCCCUUAGCAGCAGAGGUUAUCCAACUAACCGAGCUUUACCUUCCUUAUAGUACUUCAGUUAAGAAUUUCAUGGAAUUAGUUGACAGAGGUAUAUUAGCCAUAGGUAAGUAGAUUUGCCUAAUUCAGGUAUAAAAGAAAUGGAGUUAUAGGAGCCUCGCCUAAUUCAGUUACUAGAUAAGAAGCUGGAAGUCAAGGCUUUGAAGCAUGGCGUCAGGAGCUUUGUAGCCAGAGUUGGGGUUGGCUAGGGAGGAAAUCCAAUCAGCUGUUAGAGGUUGGCAAGGGAGUUGGGCCAUAGUACAUAAUUGCUAGGGUAUUAGGCAUAACAAUUAGAGUGGAAGUUAGCUAACAAUAAGAAUGAAACUCGGAUCUCAGAAUUCAACAAGUAAGGUGUAGACUAAGGCCCUAUACUAAUUCGAGUGCAUCCAGUAGUGGACCUAGCAUGAAACUCAGACAUGAGAAUAUCACUCCUAGUCUAUUUACCGCAAUACUGGUGGAAUUCGAAUUCUUCUGGUAGAAAAGUAAGGGUAUUGAAGCCCACCUCUCCUAAUAGUGCUAGUUAAGUAGUAGAACUAGAGAAGCAUCUGUACCCUCUUGCUCUGUAACUGGAGACUAGGAUGAAAGGCUUGAACACCUGAUGUAGGCUUACUGGACUACUACUACUAUAGCUACUCUCUUGCUCUUUCAACUCACACUAUAAGUAUAUUGGAAUAGGAAUUUCACAAGUAAGUAUAAGUUUGGGCAAGUUCCAUUUUCAGAGUGAGUUGGGGCAAUCUGAUUCGAGUUCAAGUGUAAUCCCGCCGAGCAACUACUAGGUUUCAUCCUGAGUUUCAUCUUAUUUAUUUUGAUUAUAAAGAAAGAAAAGUGCGUUUAUUAAUUACCUGCUCCUGCUUCUAUAGUUGACAUACUUGUGAGGGCUGGGUGGUUACCGGCUUCUAUCUCAAUACCUAGCUCAUUCUUAUUUUGCUUGCCUCGUAAACUUCCCUUUCCACUGAUUCUGCUGAUCUACCAGUGGCUUCAACUCCAUUCUGAAAGGAAGUAACGAAGUGUUACCGGAUGGGAUUCUAUCUUACAUAGUUGACUUAAGAAUCUAGGUAUGAAGUACACCGAAACCCUGAUGCCCUGAUGGAGAGCUAAAGUAUAUAAGUUGUGAAGAAUUGCUUUGAGCCAAGGCCAAGCAACAACUAGCCUGCCUAAUAAGUAAGGGCAAGCCUACAAGAGGACUUCGACCAUCAAUCUUUAAGGAAUAAAUGCAUUUCUAGGCGCCAAUGGGGGUAUCAAAUGUCAUAUUUGCCAUCAAACUGAUCAAGAUAUGUUUUAGUUCAUUUUAUGCCCCUAUCUUGAUUUAGUUAACCCAUAGCGGCACCCACAUAUAUUAUAUUCUAUUCUGAUGAUACCCGUAAUGAUACCCGAUUGAUACCCGAUGCCCCCUCACCUCAGGCUCUAAACAAUACCCAUCCUUGGGCUACCCGCACUGCUACCACCUUCUGAGUCCUGUAUCAGCCCUUCCACUUGCAAUUCUGUAUUAUGGCCUUAUCCAACCCUCGCUACUUUCUAUUACUCGCAACUUUCUAUUACAAUAGAACAACACUUUCAUAACUGACCCCGACUGCAACUUAUGCUCUUUCUUUGAACUCUCCUAUGGCUCACUUUCAUUCUCACUUUCCUACUUAUUAGCUUCAUUCUUCAAUUCCAACUAGCAACUACUCGGUAUUCCACUAGUCUAAAUGCAGGCCUAGUCACUUCCAUCGGCUCGGUGUUGCCUUAUAUACUAGUAGCAAUUCCCAUUCUGAAAUAAGAUAUGAUAGGCCAAGCCGACCUCCACUCACCAGACUUUAUCACCAGAACUUCAACUAGUCAUCAAUAACCCUUUACCACACUUAAGAAUUUCCCCGAAACUUACAAUAAGCACUCGUAUUGGAAGAAACUAGUAAUUCCACAAGCCAAGCACCUGACCUGAACUCAACUCUCUCCUUCCCGCUUCUAAGCAUGGAAUUGAUUCUUACCCGACGCCAACCUCUGCCCUUAUAAUUAAUGGUGGACUUGGCCUCACUACUCCUUCUCUAUUUCCUCUCUCGGACAGGUGCCGAACACAGGAAUAGUCAUAACUUCAUCAGACCAAACCACAGCAAUAAGGCUUAACCGAGUUUCAUCAGUUCUCUUAUCUGUUCUUUUGAAUGCCCCCGGGUGUUAGCGAUGAAGCAGUUGACAGGGAAGAGUUUAGGAGAGGAGCGAUUAGAUGAGAGCCAUGGUUGAGGUCGAGUGCAGAAGAUGCUUUAGCUUGGUUAGUUGACAGAGCCAGUAGCCAUAGGUUUAGGAUAUCAGAGUUGGAUUUGAGUCUAGUAGUUCCUUGUCUUCGAGUCCAGUAGUCGCUUUGUUAGUGAAAUACCUGAGUUGUAGUUGUAGUAGUCCUGUUUCAAAAGAAGUGUAGUGGAGUAGUCGCUUUUCGUCUUUAAGAUCUUUGUCCUGUGCCACUUAUAUAUCUGCAACUACAUGUGGUUAGUUACUUAUUACACUCCUCUUACCUGGCUAACCUGACCUGGCUAACUCUAAUUCGAACUUUCCUACUUGGGAGAAAGAGCCAAACGCAAAGCAAGUCUUUGUUUCAAUGAGUCAUUUCCCAUUAAGUAUAAGAAUGAAACUCGUUUAGUCAAAGAAUUCCACCUUUUAUGAGAACUGCCUCGGAUCCUGCCCCAACUCCUGAUGCCACAGAGCCUGGACUUGGCCCAACAGAAGAAGUUAUGCCUGUAGAAUACCUAGUGAAAGUUUCAUCUGUGUUUGUUGUCGACGAGUAUCUUUUCUCACUAUGGCUAAUGAUUCUCUGCAGUACUAAACACUGGAACUGACACAAUAAACUCUCUCUAAGACUUAACCAGCACUGCUUCAUCUCUUGUGUACUUCUCACUUGCAGCACUAGCAGCUUUAGACUGAACCCUAUUCUGUUUCUUACUCCCCUGAGUGUUUUUCUUCCCUUUGAAGUUUCAUUAAUAGUUUGGAGCUUAGGUACUUUGCGCAACUAGAGAGUUUCGGGUGUUGUUGGUUCUUGUUCUUAACUUAAAGUAUAGGUCAGGCAAGCAUAUCUUUCAGUUCGCCUAGUUCGGAAGUAAGAGCGCAGUAGAAACUAUUUGUUUAGAAGCUCAAGGGAAGCUCAUUUUUAUUCCUAUUGAUCAUAAGCCUUAGAAUUGACAGUGAUAGUUCUAGGUCCGCCAAGUCGACAAGCCUUGUAUAUAAGGGUCGUUUUCAGGGAGGUUUCGUAAACCCCGGGGCAGAUGCAGAUAUAGAAGUCGUUUGAUACCCUCCGGUUUUUCUUUUUCCUUUACUCGACAAGCAAUGUAGUAGUGACGGAGGCAAGAAUACAAUAGAAUCAGCAGUAAGAGUGAAGUAGUGGAGAUCAUCAACAGUAGAAGGAAAGUCUAUAGUUGUUGGCAAAGCAUCUGAAGCAACAAUUCCAGUUCCUUUUCGGAUUAUCAAUCUGGUCUGAAAGCCCUCUAAAUCGUUGUUGAAGCUAUGUUCCACUCUGAUAAUGGCAAAUAUUACAUUGAAACUAGGAAACUGGCCGGAUAAUUAAUUGAUUCCGCCAAGCUAACCGCCGCUACUACAUAAGAAUGGAAUCUUGAUUGUCUGCUUGUCUACUUGCUAUGUGCUCGAAAGAUUUGUAACCAAUAGUAGUGCAGUAAAGAUCUUAUUGCCCCAAUUUCCCUUAGUACUGAGUCUAGCUCCGAUGCUUCUCCUUCAAAAAGAGAGUGAGUUAGAUUAGCCGAAUGAAGCAAGUAAGAAGGAAGGUAGAAAACAAAAGAAGAAACCCGUAUACUAGCAACCCCGCUUCAAAGCCUCCAACUAAGCACACCGAUACUGUUACUACUGAGGUCAAUUCUGUAACUCCCGAGUUGAAUCCUAUCAGUCAUCCUAUAUAUAGAAUAGUAGUAAUUGAGUAGGGGACAAGCCAACAAAGGUGAUCGAUUGACUACUUGCUUAACACAAGCACUUAAUCCUUUUCUCUGUCAACUAAUUCCAUUAUCCUCUUUCUUGCCGACCUCCACUGUGGCUCUUAACUACUCGUAUACUUGCUCAAAAGAAGCUCUUAACUACUCGUAUACUUGCUACCCUCUCUACAACUACUGGCUUUUAACAAGAACUCCCGGCUCGGCUCUGUCAACUAACCACUCCCAAACACAGGCACCGCUACUUUCAGGGGCAUUGGCAUUUCUACUAGUUGGGUCAACAUCUUGAUUCUCUGGCUCUGUUCCACCUAUUCACCAAUUACAUUCGGCUCUCUUCUCUUCUGCAACUAUAUCUGUUCUCUUCUCGGGCUACACUCUCUAGCUCAUCUACUUCUCCUCUUGCAACUACAAAAGAAUAUUAUGACAUUUACACACAUUAUGUAACUUAGUUACCUCCUCACUCCGUCACUCAAUCGGUCAUCCAUCCUGCCCUGUCCCUCGUUAGGCUCUUCAAAUGCAUUUCCGUCUAAUAUCUUUGCUUUGAUUUCGAGUUCAACAAGCAGCGGCAACGAACAACGUUCCUAAGUGCGAAAAAGCUCACUAACGUACCCAACCGAAAACCAAUAUAGAAGCUAAUACACCCCAAAAGUCAGUAAGCUCCAGCACAACUCACUAACACGGAAUCUUGAUAGCCCCCCCUAGCUGCGUUUUGAAUAUUACCCUUAUAUCUAUAUACGACAACUAAGGUAAGGGAAAGCCCACCGGCAAGCAGACAAACAGUGAACUAGGUCAAUUCUUCCUUUCGAAUGAAAUUAGUCAAAGCAAGCUGUAAGAAUUCCACUAGUAAGUAGCGGACCCACACAAAGAAGUUAGCCUACCUUUCCUUUAGCCGAGUAAACAUUCCACUGGCACCGAGUAAACUCAUUCCAUUCCAUUCUUAAGCAAGUGAGAUGGAGCCAAGAGAGGUGAUUGAUCGGAGCAAGAGAUAGAUUGAAUUCAAAACUUAUACAGAAGGGAUGUGUCGGGUAACGAAGUAUAGUCCAGGCCCUUAAGAAGAAGUUAUGCGAGAGGAAACAGCAGUGCGAGUGUUGUCUCGUAGGUAAUUGCCAGUUACAGUGAUAAAGUCAGCAUCAAACAAUUCUUCCAGUGUAGUUAGGGCAAUCAGCUUCAAGUGUAGUCUUUGAGAACUUCACUUUGCUUUGAGGGCGAGAGCAUAGAUUCUUUGAGUUCAUAAGUCAACCCGCUACUACAGUUGCUACUAUCUGAGUAGGAGUGAGUCAAUUCGGCUCUCCUUUCUUCUGUCAACAAAUCAAUAAAUUCACUCCAGUGAACCAAGGGAUUCCACAUUCCACCCUAUGACUUGAAACACGCAUUCCGUUAAUUCCUUAGCAACUAGGCAAAAGUGUAGUAUAGUUCUCUAGGAAAGGAGUACAGGGUUGGUUGGUUAAUCUUCUAUCUCUGGAUGUGCCAUUGGAGUAUACCCACUUGCAGAAUGGAAUUGCAGAAUUAAGAGCACUACUUUCAGAAUUGAGAAGUUGCAGGAUCACUAUGGAAGGUGCUGAAAGCCUCCUUAUACUAGGUGUGGUCAGUUAAAGAAAGCACUAACAGAGUUCAAAGAGUAUAAGUGGAAGUCUCGGUUCAGUAAUGACUUCUUUCUAUAUGAGAUUCAACUCAUAGGGCAGCAAAGUAAGAUCUUGCUUAUUCAUCAAUUCCUUCUGAUGCUUUGGAUCCUGAUCCAUCUUUUUCUGUUAGGCCUGGACAGUAUUACUUUCGAAUUGAAUCCUUUACUUGCGCAUUAGGAGUUCACCCCUUAGAGCGUAAACGGCACAAUGACUUUUGACUACGGCAGCAAGCGGGGCGGGUAUCUCGGGCUAAAGUCAGCAACACUCGGGUCUUAAAGCUUAGGCACAAAUAGCAUUUUGUAAGAAACUGGGCCUGGUCUCCAUCUUUUUGCUUUGGGAGCUAGUUUUGUAUGGGCUAGGUUCCUUGCGAGUGAGUGUUAUCCUAUAUCCUUGCGAGUUAGUGUUCUCCGUCCAGUGUACGGGCUCUUUCUUGAAAGUCGUAAUUGCAGAAUGGAAUUUCAUAAAAUAGAUGAUUCUCUUAUUACAAACACUUCUAUACUAGGGCAACCACCUCUUUUCUUCUUAAAACGAGAAAAGUCAAACACUUAAGAGUAAAGAGAUGCUUCCUGAACCCUUAUACCGUACUAGCACUCUCACUCUAUUACUCUUUAAGCAAAGGGAAAGCGAAUAACGGAACUGUUUCUUCUCCUUACUCCGCUUCCUUUCCUUCCUAACCUUGUAGUGGUGCAUUCGGCUUCGACUUCUGUAUAAGAUGAAAUUCGGGAUGAAACUCAUUGACUUAGCGCUCCAUAAGUACUUUCUUCGUUGUCAACAAGAACUCUACUUUCUACUGGACCUCAUGAAAGAGAUGAUCUUAUAGAUGAAACUGUAACAGGCAAUGAAUAAGCGGAAGAUCUUGAUUAUGGUCCUAAUUCCUCACCUGCUCCACUCAAGCAACUAUACCGCAAAGCUACUACUACUAAAGCAAAUAAAGAUACAAGUCAAAUAAGUACAAGUAUAGAAAGAAAUCAAGAUGCAAAUGAACACGCAGUUUCAAGACUCAAGACCAGGGGAUCGGUGCUAGAAUCAGAUUCCCAAUAUAGGGAAGCAGCAGUGUAUUUUCACAAAUCUAUACGUGCUCCAUAAUCAAUUAAUGUUUAAGUAGGCGCUAACAUAGUUUUACAGAAGGGAUGCCAGCCUGUACCAGUAAUAUUAAUAAUAGAAGGGUAUGGUGUGUGUGUCUUUACUCAAAUUCUAUGCCAGGUGCUCGUGCUUGAAAGUAAGAUCAGAAUGGAAUGUUGAGAGCUUAGGGUCAACUAGGAAAAGAUCUAAGCACUGAAGAAACACCUCUAGAGUCGACAACACCAACAGAUGAUGGAUGAACACUAGCUAAAGAGGAUUUAGUAGGCAAAAGGGAGACAAUGUCCUGAGAGUUAUUAACAAGUCCUAAUUUCGCCUCCCCUACCACCCUAUUGUUUGCAAACUGACAUUGCUUUAUCUAAUUCCGAAACACAGGAUCUAGCUGCUGCUGAUAAAACAGCCCUGCCUGCCUGUCUCUAAUGCCUUUGAAACUGAUGUUGCUUGAUAUGAUUCUGCCUAUCUUCUGUUUCAACCUUGCUCUCGGAGAAGCUAGUUCAAACUUGAACCCCUAACUCCUAUUCUUACGAACAUGUCUACCGGUCCUGUCUUGCUUGCUUAAAGUCUCUCGCUACUAAAACUUGGAAACUUACACUGCUUCACCUCAUUCUGCAUUUAGGGGCUUCUCAUACUUUGUCUCGAAAAAUCAAGAAUAGAUCGAUCCCACUGACAACAAGAACGGAGCUGCUGGCAACUAGGCUAACUACUUAAUUCCUAAACCGGUGCUACUCAGACCGAAACCAUAAAGUCAAGAUACCGACCGAGCUAAGUUGCUACAUAACAAUAUGGAAUCAACCCUCAAAAUAGGAAAAGGAAUACAGAAUUCCACUAGUGCUGACAGGACUUAAUCCUACUACUAAGGAAUAGAAGGGGAAAUUAGAGAUUUCUAUUAGGGGGUAAAAGACAGGAGUAUGGGAAUCAAAGACAGGAAGGGCAGCCUAUGAGUCAGCAGUGAGAGCCUUAUUCUUACUAGUUAGAUUCACCAAGCAACUACUAACGGACAAAGAUAGGAGACAAGCAGCUUUAACAAGUAAGGGUUGAACUAGUUUGCUUACCGGGCAUAAAAGAAAGGGCUCUUAGCACCUUCUCUAUUUCCUACCUCGGACAGGCGAACAGAGGUGUGAUACUAUUGCGGUAAAGAAGGUUGCUAGCUCUAAGUCUGCAAGGGAAUCAAGAUCUUACUUAGUUUCAAGAGAAAGACAGGGAUCUCAGGACUAAUACAAAGAAUAAGGGAGCAGUGGAGCUACACUAACUGUACUACCAGGGAGCGGGGGAGCUACACUAACUGUACUACCAGGGAAAUUGGCAAUGAAAUGACUAGUUAGGCAAAGGCAAAGCUAUCGAAGCAAUCUAUUAGGUGUCGGGGUGCCUAAAGAAGGAAGUCAACCCUAAACGCAGUAGUUUAUACUAAUUUAUACUAAUUGUGUUUAAUAGGCAGUGGAAGACAUAGAUAUAGUUGCAAGAAAAGGGAUGCCGACAUCAAUCCUAUUAAUUCCGUUAGCAGAGAGUAGCAAGCGGUUCAAUAAGUGUUUUUCCAUAAGAAGCCCUAUCAGGAUCCCCCAGUUCCAGUUCGCAUCUAGUAAUAGAACAAGUUUCAUUCUUUGACUACAACACCCUACUUUAGAACUGAAACAGGCAAUUCUCUUUGAACUAAGGCUUCUAUCUAUACCUCUGUCAACAAUUCUGCAUUCUGAUUUCUUGCUCUAGUACUGUUUCUUGACUACCUUCUCUGAGUUAGUAGGAUAUAGGAUUCAACUCCACAACUACUGGCUAGGCUCUGUCAACUAAUACAGAUGGUACUCUCUUUUGACUACCCAAGUAAGUAAACCAAGUAAACCAGCCUAUCCCAAUUACUUAAGGGCACAGGACUCGGCGGGCUCAGGACUUGCCUCAUAUAAUAUGUUUUAAUAAGUUGUUACCAAGUCCUAAUUAAUAGCAAAAGUGCAGUGCUACAGAGUGUGUAUAGGGGAAAUGCAAGUAGUUAAGCUCUUUGUUUUCUGUUGACUUUAUCAAUUCCGAAAGUGUUCAAUCCACUCUAUUCUUUAGUUCAAUACCGGGUAGUCAACUAAUACAGACAGGGAACUCUCGCUAACUGCUUAGAUGAGAAUUCGAAAAGAAAUACGGAGUUACUGACCUAUGACCCACUCUCCGGAUCUAAGUAAGUAUUUGACUCUUCGCCUUAGCAACAAGGCAACUCUGUAAGGAAAGAAAGAAUAUGUAUACUUAGCUACAUAGGCAAGAUGUUACUAAUUUAAUAGCAUAGGAAAUAGGCAGAGGAUAGGUCGGCAAGGGUUAAGAGAAUACAUUGAUGUUUUACUCGGCGCUCCAACAAGUGGUGGAUCACCUUAAGCCCAUUAACGAGUUCCCAAUCGCCCUAAGGUACUGCAGUUUGCUUCAUCUAUAAAGUAGCGGUCCCAAGAGUAGAAUGAUAGUGUUAUCGACCCGAACUCAAUUACAUGGUACAACCGGACAAGCAGACAAGUUGACUUACCCCUGUUUUAUAGGCACUAAAUUCAAUUUCAAGCAGGUUUGCUCUCUUCCUAGCUUGGACAUGAAAAACAUCUUGGCGAUGAGAAAUAAUGCAUUUCCGCCUGUAAGAUUGAUGGUUCGACUUCACCUCUUAUUCUGUAAUUACUUCUUUAUAUAUGAGAUGAAACUCUAAGGGCAUAAAAGCAAGUACUUUACCUCUGAUCUUGCUCCUCUCUUACACUAUGAAAAGCUUCCCUUGCCUCUAUCUCCCCAACAGUGACACUUGUCUAUCCGUUCCUUGGCGGUCAUUAGUAGUUGCUUGGUGGCUGAAACACCUGCUCUUAAAACGGAGUCUGGGCCUUAUGAAGAUUACCUGAUAGUUCUAUACUUCACUAGAACAAUUGACGAACUAGGCUUUCCUCGCCAAAUCCUUAUUAUCCGAGUAGACCAGCGGUUAUUACCUAGUCCUGUCCUGGCAAACCGGAAGGUAGAAAACAACAGCAUUGAACCAUUCUGUAGGGUGAAAUUCAUUGUAGCAAGAGGCGCAGAUAUAUAAGUGGCACUGGACGUAGAGUUAUAUUAAAUACAGGUACCGUCGAGAGAGGCGAAGGAGCUACUACAGCAUCAACUAAAUCACCUUUCACAAGAAUCGAACAAACUUGCUAGAGCGGAAGGGCAUUCUCCACGAGACAACACUCGCACUGACAAAUCAAGGAAUGGAAUUUCGGAUUACAACAUAUUAUACAACAUUAUAUCAAAAACUAAAGAAAGAAGCUUAUUUCUUGAAACUCCACCGGUUCCCUUCCUUUAGGAUGUGUAGUAAUAAGAAUUGCUGUAUCUCUAGGAGUAUUGCGGUCUUCGUACCUUUUGUACAAUCCUAUUGUAGAAGUAGUGGAUAAGUAACAGUACCUUCCUUAUGCAAGCUAGGAAGUCAGUGAUCAAGCAAAUGACUUUUCCAAGUGUUCUUUUUGGACAACCAGGUAAGAUAUCGAAUUAGUAAAUAGAACAACGCUUAGUCUAAGGAAAGAUCUAGUAAGAUAUCGAAUUAGUAAAUAGAACAACGCUUAGUCUAAGGAAAGAUAUCAAAAGAGAGAAGCCUCCUAAAGUGAAAGUGGUUAAGGGUUGGAGGGCUCGGCUCACAUUAAUACCAAGCAGGGCAGACCUUGUCUAACAAUCCAUACUAGUGCGUAUAACGAGCAUCCCGGCCGGUAAGAAAUAGGGUGUUCUUAUAAUCCUUAUGGGGAAAGCUUGGUUGGAUAGCUAAUAUAGGGAAAGCUUGGUUGGAUAGCUAAUAUAGAUACCGAUGUAUAAAUGUCUACUCUUCCUCCCCUUGAGGACCUCUGCUCCUGUUCUAACGAUAUAAAGGUUCUUAUCAGUUCAGUGCUUUGAUUUGGAUGAGCUGUCGUGCUUUCUCGCGUAGUUGAUCUUGUUUUUCCUGGAUAAAGAAGCCCUAUACUAUGUCAAGGCGAGGGGCGCCCAGCAAGUUAUGUAGUAGCUUUCGUUCCGCCUUAGAGUCUAGAGGCUUUUCUAAUGUCGCUUCGCCUGUCUGCAAGCGAAUGCAAGUUUCAAGCAUAAAGUGGAAGUCUAAAGUGAGUCAGCCACCGAGUCUUUGUAAAAGAACCCGAGCACUCCAUCCUUUUCUGUCCAUUCAUGUGCUGCUACUAGAGAAGUUGAAGGACUCAUUCACUUUAAAAGCAAGCUAUAAGUACAGGACGAGUAAGCUUUACUAGAUGCAGUUAGCCGGAUAUCCAAUGCACUAACUCAUGGACUUCUAGAUAUGCCCUGAGGGAACCCUAUUAUUGUAGUCCUUUCAAAAGAGAUUCUAUAGGAGAGAAUCAGGAGAUUACCUGGGGUUGGACGAAAGCCCUAUAUAUAGGAGUAAUCCUACAAAGAAAACGGAAUUUGUCACUUGGUUUUGCAGCUCUAUGAGAAUUCCUAAAAGAACUUGAUGGAAAACAAGCUUGAUAACAUGAAAAGAGAAAAGAGCCCAGCCCCACCAAUCAAAUAAGGCACUGCAGAGCCAGGCCCAAAAGUAUGCUUUUGCUCGCUCCGCAAGUAAGUACGAACCAGGCAAAGAAGCAAUGCAAUGUCGACCAACCCAAAAGGUCAGUCAAAAACCCUGAUGCAUGAGACAGAGUAGAAAGACUAUAAGCGCACGCUGCCAUAAGGCAAACCUAUAACCAGGCUGAUGAAACCUAACAAUAAUGUUCAAUCAAUUAGGUCGGUCGUUGUGAUCCUUCUUUUCUUUCCCUUCCAGCCCAUCUUGACUAUUCCUAAAAAGAGCCUUCUUUGGGGGGCAAACAAAUAAUCCUUAAUAACUUGUAUGUAGGGCCCCAGUAAAAGGUUAUUCUCAUCUUUCGGAUCAAACCUAACCGACGAUUCAUAUUCUGGCAAUGUUCAGAUAAGAGGGAAAUUCCAUUCAAUAGAAAUCUGUCUGUCCCUCAGAGCGCUAUUGUUCUUUCCCCCCCUGGAAAGAUAUAGAUUGGGAGUAUCAAAUUGCUUGAUCGUUCGAAUGACCAGAAGGGGCUUGCUAAAAAAGCAAUUCACCGCCUUUGUUCGGCAGUUCGGUUCAGUACUUUGCAUAGUAUACAGCCACUCUUAGGCAGUACUAAGACAGUUUUCUUAUCCCUGUCAAAUGUUCAAGAGCCACCGCUCUGUAAUAACGAGGUUUUCAAGCAAGCUGGAAUCACUUGAUAACUAACUUCUUUCUAUAGAUAUAUAACAUUAGAAACCAUGAUCCUUCCGAAUGUGGCGAAGCGAGCUAGGUUACCGGUAGAAAUCCUAUCCUCUGACGAGAGUUUCUGCUAAUCGAUUGAGAGUCAUAGGAGUCGCAACCCCUAUGGAGGCUAUGGAGGCUUCUUGCUACUACCCUACCAUAAGAGCAAUAAGCCAGUCACAGGCAAACAACCUAUUUAGUCUAUCACUUCCGAAUACGAAUGCCAAAAACACCUAAAGGUCGGCCACUGCUGCCUACGAUCCAGUGUGCUGGGUGCUCGCGGAUCGGAAACCUUUCCUUUCCCAAGAAAAAAAGAGGGGAAAUCCGGACUGGGAACACCCGCGAGAGCUCCAAAUAGGCCGGUCCUUUGUUAGGAGUUAGUUUACUGGGACAAGCCGUUCGUUCCGUUGUCUCCGAGUCAGGCCCCCGAAUCGUCUGUUGAUCCGUUGGAGUUUUUGGUUGAAUACUUUCUUUGAGGAAUUUCUGAGUGCCGGCUUUGUCGGUCUACUCUUUCCCCCUCUUGCUAGCCGGCCCACUAAAACAAAUAAAGGUAGGGAGGGACUGCCGCGUAACAUUAUCCGUUACUUGGCCGGUGCGCAAUCAAUAAGGGUUACGGAUUGCGUUAAUGCUCGACGAGAUGACACAAACAACGAGCAGACUCUGUCUCCUGAUCGCUAUCCCCGUCCAAGGCCGCCUUGGCAUUUCUAUAUGCAAUUCCACGCUCUAUGUUCUAUUUCCAAGUUCUAUUUCCAAUUAUCUAUCCUUCGAAUCAAUCCCACAUUCGGCUCAAAGGAAAGAUCAGAGUAGGCAUUAGCCCCCGUUCUUAGAGGAAGAAGUCCAUCUAUUGAAUCAAUUGGAAGGAAGAAGCACUCCAGUGGUGAGGUAGCUCUUGUUCGAAUCGGUGCUGGUAGCUGUAAACUCUUCUUUCUCGAUGGGAAGCCCCCAAGUAAAUGGACUUACUUUAUUGAAUAAACUUCCUGCUCAUUUACUAUUGGAAGCACUUUAUUAGGGAAUACCUUCUAUCUUAGACAAUCAAAUAUACAGAUAAGGAAAGCUGUCUACUCAUGACCAGGCACAGCAGAAUCAAAGCUGUCUACUCAUGACCAGGCACAGCAGAAUCAAAGGAAUAACUCCACUCUCAAAGUAGUGGACCGGUAUCAUAAUCUAGUCAGUAGUAUGCCGGAACUCUUUCUCUUAAGGGGUGUGGAGCGGCUGCGAUUUCUUUUGUCAGCAGUUCUUCCUAGAAAUAGAUAGCGAGAAUCCGUUCUUGGUAGGAGAACAUUUGCUAGCUAUGGGACUUAUGUCGGGAAGAAACAACCAGUCUUCCAAGUGUGCCAGCGAUGGGUACAUCUUAGGUUGAUCGGACUUACGUACUCUAUUCUAUAUAGUUACUAGAAAGGCAGAUACUCUAUUCUAUAUAGUUACUAGAAAGGCAGAUGAAUGGAAUUGACGGUAUGCCCGCUUCAUAAGUAUCAUUUUCUGUUAAAACAUCUUCUUCGUAGAUCUACAAAGAAAGAAGUGCUUUCUGCGGCAUGGGAAGCUUUCAAAGCAUCAAAAAGAAGAUCAGAUUAGCCGACUUCAUUAGCCAAUGUUUGGAAUGAAGAAGUACACACUUGCACAAUCAAUUCUGUAUUAGAAGUAUCAUAUCGCUUGAGAACGAGGAUGAACAGAAAAGGGAGAGCAGCCCUGCCGCGCCUUUUAGCUCGCUGACGUUUCACUCAGGCUCCUACCGCGCCACAUUAGUAGUGGCUUGGUCAUUAGGAGUGACUUGUCUAGUAGUUGCUUGGCCCCCGAGCCUAACAUAGUUCAGGAAGAAAGAAGUAGUGAAUGAAGGGCUUAAAAGGGUUUCAAGAAAGGGGCAGAGAUGUCAAUAGCGAGACCAAACGAGCGGAAUACUUGUUGCGAGUUAAGUGAAAGGCUGGAGAAACCAUUUCCAUAAACUGGAGUGAAAGACUUGGAACGGACGAGCUCCAUCCCUGCGUAAGCGAUUUCCAAAUAAAAAGCAAACUAUAUAGAUGAUGGCUGGGGUUAGGUUUCAGAGACAGAUUCGUUAGACUCGACAGAGUCAUUAGGGGGUGAUAUAGUUUAGGUAUGGGGAUGAUUUUCUCGUAUAGAGCAGAUUUCUUGUAGGGCAAAUACAGGACUUGUAAUAACUUCGUAUGUUCGUCCACCUGUUUUCGUUCCUUUCCCCUUACAAGCUAUUCUUGCAAGUCUUCUUGGAGGAAGGAAGCCAGGGAGUUGCAAUAGCGCAAGUAACUAAGGGAACAAUACUCCCACGCAAGAAAGUAGUACUUUUGUCUACGAGAGAGGCAAUAAACCAACACCCAGUUAGUUAUGGUACAAAGAAUGGAGCAUGAUGAAGUAGCCAGUGAAAUCGACGAGAGAAUCAACUGUUAUGUUAGCGAGCCGAAGCGGUAAUCUUCAAUCAAUCUUCUUUUAUUCACUUCAAGUCCUGUUUUCCCGGGGACCUCCAUGAUCAGAGGCCUAAUUAGCUACAUUGAACAGAGGUUAAAGGAUGAGAAAUAUAGGUUCUUCAGCCUUUCCCAACUCUAAAUAAGCGUUAUACAGAAGAAGAGUGAAAAAAGCAAGCACGGUGUACUGUACUGAAGUCAAGUGGAGUAAGGCUAAUCUGCCAUUCCUCGUUGCGGGGUAGAUUCCCCAAUUACUUAGACAAUUACUUAGACUUGGUGCAUUGAGUUUCAUUCUGAAAUUCUAGUGGUUUCUCUUACGCGUCACUAGUUCUCUGCCGCGUCAUGCAGAUACAAUUAGAACCAUAAACCAAUUAGAAAC